rnacentral:lncRNA from 1 species
UGUUUUGGUGGUGGAGGUGGCUUAACAGGAGUUGGUGGCUUGUAUUCUGGGGGUGGUUUCUCCACCGGAGGUGGCUUAUAAACUGGAGUUGGUGGCUUGUAUUCUGGGGGUGGCUUCUCCACUGGUGGUGGCCUGUAAACAGGGGUUGGUGGCUUAUAUUCUGGGGGAGGCUUCUCCACUGGAGGCGACUUAUAAACAGGGGUUGGUGGCUUGUAUUCCGGGGGUGGCUUCUCUACGGGAGGUGGCCUGUAAACAGGGGUUGGUGGCUUCUCCACCGGAGGUGGCUUAUAAACGGGGGUUGGUGGCUUGUAUUCUGGGGGUGGUUUCCCCAGUGGUGGAGACUUGUAAACAGGAAGAGGUGGUUUGUGCUCAUAUGGGGGUGGCUUGUGGUCAUUAGCAAGUGAGGGAGUGGUGAGGACCACCAAUCCAAGGAACAACACGAGUGAGCAAGCAGAAGACAUGUUUGGGCUCUGGUGAUGCACAAGUAGAAGAAAUGGGAACCAUUUAUAAUGCUUCGAGACCUUGGUUAGCACCAAAAUAUGUCAAAAUCUUGAUUACUUCAUUUCAUACAUAGAUUUAAAAUUAUUUCAAUCAACCAUGAUCCUUAAUUUUCUGGGUGGUCCAUAAAUGUAAUGGGGUCAAUUUGGGACCUAACAAGCUGAGAAGUUUGACAAUGCUGCAAGGCUUCAUCCGAAAGUCCGGGGAAGAAUAUUAGGAGUUACACUCCGUUUCCUUUUUUGGGUGCAUUUUUCUCCUUUAACAUUCUAUUCCCUUUUACAUUAGCAUUUGAUCUUAGCUCAUUUCAAGUACAAGUUUCUUGAACCCUAUACCAUUGUCAAAGUUGAGUAACCAUCUCUACUUUGCUCAAGAAACAUAAAAGACAAUGACAAUAAAGAAAAAGGAGAGAGACCAUACGUGACUUGGUUUAUAGGUGGCUUUGUGUUGACAUUUGAGUAUGGAAGCCGACAUGCAUCUUAGCUUCGAUUUUAAUUAAAUUUGUACAUUAGUGUCUGUGUCAUUCAUUUUGGUAUAAAAGGUCUCUUGAUUUCGUAAGUUUGGUAAGAACCGUUGAAAAUAGCAGUAGCAGCACAUGGUCCACUUUCUUUCACAAAAUAAUUUUAAAAGUUUAGAAGCAUAGGAGGUAACAUUAGUGGCCUUGUGGCUCAGCCACGAGUACUAUGUGGUGCUCGAGAAAUUGAGUUUAAUUUCCUUCCGAUAGUUCAUGAUAAGGUCCGUCACUGUCCUGAGACAGAUUGCGUUUUUUCUUUUUUCCUUUUUUAGUGUUUUAUUGACUAGCUAGGUGUGACUUUUCCUACUUUAAGGCACGAGGCAGAAAAGAAACUGGGAUUUAGUGCUUAAGAAGGCAAAUUUAAUUCGAUUUGGAUCUAAAAUUUGCCAGCAACAUGAGAUUUUCCAGCCUAUCGUUGCUCCACAUAUAGACAAGGCACUUGUAGAAGUGGCUUGUUUGUAGCCAUUCCCGAUAUUUGGACUCACUUGAUUCACCGGACACUUUGAUAAAAUUUAAUAUUUAUUAUUUAAUAAUUUAAAUUGAUUUAAAAUUAAAUUAUACCGAAGUUGUGAUUUAAAAAUUAUUAUUUAAUUCUUACUUUUAAAUAUGAAGAUUAUUUGAUAAAAAUAAUUUAAAAUUUAUUAUAAAUUAUCAAAUUAACAUAUUUAUCCUUAUAAAUUAUAAUUAAAACAGAAAAGGUCAAAUGAUUUGAGUAUCCAUAGAUGUGGUAAAAUAAUAAAAAAGAUUAUAAAAACAAUUAUGAUAAAUAAAGAUAAAAAGUAAAAUGAAUAUGUGAAUUUAAAGAAUAAAUUAAUUAUUUUUAUUUAUUACUUAAAAUUAUUUUUGACUUUAAAUUAUAUUAUUAAAUUAUUUUACCAAACAUACUUAAUUUAGUUAAUAAUUUAAAUUUAAUUUAAGUUAUUAAAUUGAUUCACCAAAUACCCACUUAAUCAAAGACUGAAGUAUACAUUAUUUGGCCAAAUGCAGCUAUUGAAAUUUAACUUUUUCCAAACUUAUUCAUUUUGUGGAAAUAUUUUUAGAAAUGAUUUUAAAAAUGCACUAUUCUGUGUGUUGAUUUUAUAUUUUGGCAUUAAUCCAACAUAGAAAACGGUUCUUAUUUUCGCUGUUAAAUAGGUACCAGAUCCUUAAUUAGUGCCGUGAAUCCGGCAGCUUCCAAUGAGUAAUUUGGACUUGGGUAUUGACAAUGUGUGGCCAUGCUUCUACUAUUUUAUUAUUCUUGAAACAUAUAUGAUAUAUUGGACUUUAUACAGGGAAAAAAAAAAAAAAAAGUCUUCACCAAAAAUGAUUCCUCCUAAAAAAUAGACUCCACAAACUAGGUUUAACAGGAAAAUGAUUCUAAUCUAGUAGUUUCCAGCCACAUGAGCAUUUACGUAACAAUAGUAUAGUUGAUAACGACUUUUAUUUUAUUUAUUUUUAAAUAGUUAAAGGGAUAAUUUUUGAGCUUAAAUUUUAUUUUUUUAUUUAGAAACAUUUUACUUUAUUUUUUAAUCAUAAUUCUAUUAUAUUAAUGUUUUAUUUUCUAUUUUUUAAUAUAUAAGGAGAUACUAAAUUUAUGUGAUUAUUUUUUAAAAAUUUAGUAUAUGAAAUUAAAUAAUUGGAUAUAUAUACAUAUAUCAUAUAAUGUUUUUUAAGUGUGAUUUUUGAACUUUUUAGUCAUUUUAUAAGUUUAAGCUUUUGAUUUUUUUUUUUAAACUUUGGUAUUUUUUAUUUUAUAUAAAACUAUUUUGAUUUAAUUUUAUUAAAAAAUAUUGGUAUUAUAAAUUAUUGUAUUAAUUAUUUUUUUAUAUUAUAAUGUAACUGGUAUAUACUAAAAAAUGUAUGCAAGUUCAAUUUAAGUUUCAAAUUAAAAAAUUUCAUUUAAAUAUUUAAUAACUUGUUCAUAAUAAAAAAUUAAACAACAUAAUACAAAUGAAAAGAAACAUAAAAGAAAAAGGAAAAAAUGGUCCUCUCUGUGUGUCACAUUACUAGGUCAUCCUCUUUUUCUAUGACCCUUACAAUAGAAUGGCAUAUUUGUCAAAUCUACUUAUGAAAGUUGGAAUGUUUCUACAUGUGUAGGGUCCAUUGGAACUAAUGGAGGAAAGGCUUAACGUCUAUGUAAAUCACAACGUUGCCUAGGUGGGCAUAGAUCUAGUUGUGUAACAUGAGAUGGUGUGAGAGUACAAUAUAUGCAUUGUAGUCUCUAUGGGAAGAGAGAUAGGUAAUGGUAGGGUGGUAGACGGUAGGGUGAUCUCUAAUAUAAUGACAUUUGAUGUGGUGGCUUCUAAGAGAGGAGAUAUAAGAGAUGGUAGAAUGACAUUUGGUGUAAUGGUCUCUAGUGCAAUGACAUGUGAUAUGGUGACCUAUAAAGAAGAGAUAUAGGUGAUGGUGAAGUGGUAUGUGGUGUAGUGACCUUUGAGAUAGAAAAUAGAGGUAAUGGUAGGUUGGCAGGUGGAGUGGUCUUUGGUGUAGUGACAUCAAUUAUAAAUGUCUCCAAGGGAGGAAAUAAAGGUGAUGGUAGGUAGUAAAUGUUGAGGUGGUCUUUGAUAUGUUAUGCUCUAAGAGAGAAGGUAUAGGUAAUGAUAAUAGGGAAUUUGACAUAGUGGUGUUGGAAAUAAAAAGUGAAAGUGACCGUAGAGGUGAAAGGGCAAGUGUAAAAGCCUCAAGUACGAAUGGAGUAAUUAAUGUGGAUGGUGCUAACAUAGUCUUAGGUGGAUACACAAAUAGUCAUAGUCAUCAACUAGCUUGCCCACCAUCUGUCUUUCUGCUAGUGAUAGGUUACAUCUUAAUAGUAAUGGCCAACAUAAGUGGUGUGGAUCCGAUUUUUUUACGUGUGUCCCCACUCAAUCGACAAGACUUAUUUUUUAUUAGUGAAAAAUUAAUUUUGGAAAAGUUGGAGUCACCACUUAUUUUAUUUUAUUUUAAAAAGGAAAGUAAAACAAGAAAGAGAACUCUAAAGAAGUGACUUCAUAGUUUUGGAAAAGUUAGUCUUAAAAAAUCCAAGUCUUGGUCCGGAGAUCAGGUUACUUAUUGGGAAGAUACCUCUAAGAGGUAAUACCCCUCUAAACCCUAAAGAAGUCUCUAAUGACUAAGUUGAGGAGAAUGUGGUAAUUAAUUAAUUGAUUGAGGGUACCUAGGUAGACUAAGGUGAUUUCAGAAUUAACAUACCAAGCUAGAAAGUCCAAUCAUGAUCAUAAAAGAGAGUCAAAGUAUGUACCUGAACUGCUUCUCAAACGCUAUCAUAAAACAUCAAAGUUAGUAUAGAAAUAUAACACAUAAUAUUUGUUUUAUCCAAGCAAAUAAAGCAUACAUCUAAGCACCCAAGAAUCACAUCAAGUAUGGAUAUAGUCAUCAAUAGCAUACGUGUCCAUAGAACUAUCGAAAGUAAAUGUGGAGGAGCGUAUCUGGACAACAUAGAUAACUUAUAAUGUGCUUCCACAAGACAUGGGGGUUAGAUAAAAGUUAUAAUAAUAAUUAGUAAAUGAAAGAAUUCUAGCAUGUUUGGUAUCUAAAUAACAUAGCAAAAAUGAACAAGAGUACACGAAAACAUCAAUUAUCACACGAGUCAUAUUGGCUAGUAUUUAAUCAAUAAACCAACAAUAAAUGACUAUAAACAUAUAAAAUGACAUAUUCAAAGAGACCCAAACAUAAAGAGCCUAGAACACAAGCUUACACUAAAUUUAGAAAACUAAAACAUGGAAUUUUAAAAGCAUAAAUUAGCAAACAAAUUGAUGGAAACUAAAUUUAGAUAACUUAAGAAUAUUUUUCUUAUCCUUCAAUUUAAAUCAGUAAGCCAACAAUAAAAAAUUAUAGAAACAUGGAAUAUCAAGAUCAAUGGGAUACCUAAACUAUAAUUUUUAAAAGAAAAUAAACUAAGCAUAAUAUCUACAAAGCAACUAAACUAACAUUUUUUUAAAAAUAAAUUAAACAUGACAUUAAUGGAGUAACCAAACUAAAUUAAAGUAAACUAAAAACAUUUAUGAAUUUUCAAACAUGGAAUCAGCUUUCUUAGUAAAUUAAAAUUAUUAAAAUAAAAUCUAAGCUUAAAAAUGAAUUAAAUACUAACUAAAGCAAAUCUAAAACCAAAUAUUUAACACAUAGGAUCAAUUAUAUUAACAAACUAAAAUUUUAUAAGAACACUUAAACCUAAAGUUGAAUUAAAAACUAACCAAUUUUUAAAACUAGAUCUUUAACCCAUAGGAUCAAUUAUAUUAACAAAUAAAUAAUAAAUAAUAAAUAAAUAAAACUCAAACCUAAAGAUGAACUAGAAAUGUACCAAAGUAAAUUCAAAACAAGAUCUUUAACACAUUAGAUCAAUUAUAUUGACUAACUAAAAAAAAAAAAAAAAAACACUCAAACCUGAAACGAUGUAUUAGAAACUAACCAAAGCAAAUUUAAAAUAGAGUCUUUAACACAUAGGAUCAAUUAUAAUCACUAACUUAAAUUACAAUUUUUGAAACAUGAACUAAUUAGUGUUGGAUUAAUUAAACUAAUUAACUAAAAAAAACUAUAAACUAGAAUACGGUGAAUCAAGAAUUCAAAUCAACAAACAUAAAAUAUGGGUACAAUGAAAUGAAAAUCUAUUAAACUAAUAAGACGGAAAUAUGACAAACUCAUGAACCCACAUUUUGAUCAACUAGGAAAUAGAAAUUAAUAGACCUGUAGCAUGGAUACAAUGAAAUGAGAUCAGUUAAAUUUAUUUGCCGAAAUUCUAAAAAACACAUACACUCAAAUAAGAUCUAAAUCUAAGACCAAGCAAAACUCAAACUUUCUCAAUCUAAUGCAAUGAAUCAAAACUAAAAUUAAAUAGAAAUCAAACCAUUUUUUUUUUAUCUAAUAUAAUAAAUCAAAGCUAAAACUAAACAAAAUCGAAUUUUCUUAAUUUAAUAUGAUGAGUCAAAGCUAAAAUUGAACAAAGUUCAAACCUUUAUAUAAUGGAUCAAAGUUAAAUCUAAAUGAAAUCCAUACUUCCACAAUUUGAUAUAACAAAUCAAAAAUAAAACUAGAUAAAAAAAAAGUCAAAGCCUUUCAACUUGACAUAGUGAAUCCAAACUGAAACGAAACAAAAUUUUAACUUUUCCAAUGAAACCCAAUAUAGAAAAAAUUAGCUUACCUUCUUUAGAAUAUAUGUAUGGGCCAUAAAGAAGUCACCUUGGUGCAUGUGUUCCUCACUUUGACGCCAAUGGACGACUUUCUAUGGUAGCAAAUGGAGAUCCUUUUUGGUGGUAACUUGCGUGUGGAAACCUAUGGUACAACCAAUGUCAUCUUUUAUUGUGCGUGUGGACCAAUUUCUUCUCGAGAACUCAUGUGUGUUGUGCUCAAAAUAUGUUGCCUGUGAGAAUCUAUUGGUAUACCCCACAUAUGGUUUCCUUGAGAGAAUCUGUGGUUGUGUGUGGGCGUUUUCUUCAUGACAGCAUGUGGAUGUUCCCAUCUAUGGUAGAUUGGUUGUGAUGCUUUAGUGCAUGGUCUCCAUAGGAAUAGUGUGUUAUGGAAAUUUGGUUUUUUUAUUGGUGCAUGUUGUCUAGACUUUCCCAUAUGCGUGGACUGUGUGUUCAUGCUUUUCUUUUCGGAUGGUCGCCUGUGUUAAUGUGUGGCGGUGUCUACAAUGAAAGAUACAACCCUUUCUCUCCUUCUGCGUGAUAGAAAAGUCAAUCCCCCAUGGUGCGACUAUGUUCCCUCGUCCUUUUUGAAAAAUUUUGGUGUUUUCCCCCCAAAAAAUCCCCUCCAAAAAUCUAAUUAUAAAUGUCUGCUUUGGCCUAAUGUGUGUGCUACUUUUUUUUUCCUUCUUUUUAUGGUUGUGCGUGCUUUUCUUGAUACGUGGCUUAUUUCUUAAGGAUAUGAUUCGCUCCCAAUUGGUGUCUCAGCUGAUUCAUGUCCUUUCAAUGGUCCCUGACAGUGGUGCCAUUUGAUUCGUGUCCAGCUGGUGUCCCUUGAUUGUGGUCCUCAGAAGGGAGUAAUCAAUAAAAUUUAUAACCUAUUACACCAUGUAUUAGGAUAGCCUUAGCUAGCAUAGCAUAGUGGCUCUAGGGUCGUUUAUUGGGAUGAGUUUUCACUUCACAAUUGAUAUUAAUUCAAGAGCUGAAUUGGUGCCUUUUCAUUUCAAGGUUAGCUUUAAAAGAAAACAUAAUCUUUGGUGGAAAAAGGUUUGGUUUUAAACUAACCAAAAAUAGUAACUGAUUUUACUUACAAAGAAAAGUGUUCUUUGGAGUUUAGAUCACUAGGCUCAGGUUCCUCAUACAAAAAGGAGAGUUCCGAUCAUUUGUUUCUUUUCCUCGCAUUAGAGAAUUAACAUAUAGUUAAUUCUCUAACCGGUGCGGUACAUAUGCUUCCCAUUAAUGGGUUCAAACACUAAAUACCUCUCACUGAUGCACCUUGCAAUGGCUCGUGCCUCUCACCUAGCAUUUAUCAUUCAAGGUGAUCUUUAACCUUGGAUUACCCAUCAAAAGCUCGCAAGAGAUAACUAAAGGAUGUCUCCUUAGAGUCCAAAAGCUUACCAAGUGUUGGUUAUUCUAGAAAAUCCUACCUUCAAACCACCUCCCAAAGGCUCGCAAGAGAUAAACAAGUGCAUCUCAAUGGAUGAAGAUCACUUGCCUUACCAAGUUUUGGCCCAGAUGAUUUAAUGACAUUUUAAGUUAACUAAAAAGAUAAAAACCAUUAACGGGUCACACUUUCUCUUCAUUAAAAACUAAAACAACAAAACUUCCAAUUUAUGCAUGAGGAAACUUACCUGGCUUUCUUCACUUCAAGAGAUGAAGAGCCUAGCCACUCAUCAUUUGAGGAAAAAUCCUCAGAGUUUGAUUUGCUAGAAAUAAAAAUAAUGAGAAAACAAAAAUAUAUAUAUGAAAAACAGAGCAAGUUCUCUGUAAUAUAUUUUUCUUCCUUAUACAAAAGGUUGUCUCUAAGAACAAGUUCCCGAGAUCUAUCUGAUUGUAAAUAAAAUUACAACUAUAUAUAAGAGGUUAUUCACCCCUUUGUUCUUUCUUAAAGACUAAGGAAUCCUAUGAUAGGUGGGUUACAAGGAGAGUUUGGGGAUUUAGACAUCAAAUAUCUAAAGCAAAAUAUCUCAAGAUGUUAGUCGGAAAUAUCAGGAAGCUUCAGGAGAACACCGCGACACUGUAUACUGAGAGAAAAACUCUCCGGGUAAGCUCUAUCAAAGGAUCCAGACAUGUCUGACUGGGAAAGUUGAAACGUCCUUCUCUCCCAUCCGGAUGUGAGAUAUCCGGAGAAAGUGAAAUGUCGGUCGGACAGAAUUCUUUCCCCGGGUGGAAUGAGUUGUGUUGCGCGUCGCAAGGGGGACCGUCUGCGUGUACAAGUUGUAGGGACCCCUCUCCCGGAUGACACCGAGCGCGUAAGGCUAUCCGGAUCAACUCCAUUCGGAUUCCCCAAGAGGACAUGUGGCGUGCUCCCCUAUCAGGACUCCCUUAGGGAGAAGCACACGACACUCGUGAACAUCAUACCCGGACGAUAGCAUGUCCUAUCCGGAUGUGUUGUCCGGAUCAUUGACUAAAGUGAGCAAGCCUUGCUACGUCAUUCGGACAGCUUGCCACAUACCAUGUUCCGUCGCCAUCUGAUGGUGUGUCCGAACGCCUUGUCCGGACAUCUUUUGCUCCUUGCAUUCCGGAUUUGCUUAUGACAAAGGACUUCAAAGCUUCGGUUCUUCAUGUUUCUGAGCUUUCCAUUGCUUUGCCAUGGAUUCCAAAGAACUCUCCUUAAUCACGGAUUGCUUUGGUGAUCAAAAAGUUAUCAAAACACAAAAACUUAACAUAGUUUGAUUAGAAUUGAUUGCAAGGGUUCUUAAUAUGUUAAUUGGGUUAAAAGGUGAUAACUACUACUCAAAAGUGUUUAUAAGAAUUAAUUACAAGCUAUGAAAUAACACUUUUUGAGUAGUAAUCAGGAUACAUCCUAGUUUUUCAUGGAAUUGAUAGUGGGUUGUUGUGCAUGAAUGCCACCAUUUCAACUAUGCUGUUGUUAUUUUUAAAAAAAAUAUGGAUUAUGCGCGAGUGGCAAUUCUCCACUAUGGAAAGUGGAUUGCUCCUUCAACCCAUGCAUGGCUACGUAUUCCUAUGUCUUUCUACUUGUGUUUGAUCCUCCAAAAAAAAUUUCGGUUUAGUGCUAGUAGAUUUUAAGUGGUGGAUCCCCAUUUUUUGAAAAUGAAGUGGCAGCCUCCCAUUUCAAGACAAAAUGGUAGCCUGCCUUUAAUCUUUGGAGAAAAAUCUGUGCAUGACCUUUUUUUUUCCCAAAAAAUCCGUGCAUGGUGUCCUUUAAUAUUUGGAGAAAAAUCUAUGUUGGAUCUUUUCUUUUCUAGAAACAUUUGUGUGGUCUUUUUUGUUAGCCCAAGGGUUCUUCUAAUCAAGUUUUGAUGAUAACAAACCAUGGUUAAGUGACUAAUUGGUUUAAUGAUUAAGAAUCUCAAACAUAAAAUCGAAAAUUCAUCAAAGGACCAAAUGGAUACAAGAUCGAGACGCUUGGAAGACUUGUAAUCAUAGGAAACUAAUGUAAGAUGAAUGCAUGAGUGCACUUAGGAUUUUCACACGUUUCAUGCAACUUAGAAAACCCAGUUUAUUCUUUAAAACUUCAUCCCAGUUUAUUCUUUUUAUGGUUGUGUGUGCUUUCCUUGAUACGUGGCUUAUUUAUUAAGGAUACAUCCCAGUUUUUCAUGGAAUUGACAGUGGGUUGUUGUGUGUGAAUGCCACCAUUUCAACUGUGCUGUUGUUAUUUAAAAAAAAAAAAAAUGGAUUGUGCGCGAGUGGCAAUUCUCCACUAUGGAAAGUGGAUUGCUCCUUCAACCCAUGCAUGGCUACGUAUUCCUAUGUCUUUCUGCUUGUGUGUGAUCCUCCAAAAAAAAUUUUGGUUUAGUGCUAGUAGAUUUUAAGUGGUGGAUCCCCUUUUUUUGAAAACUAAGUGGCAGCCUCCCAUUUCAAAACGAAGUGGUAGCCUGCCUUUAGUCUUUGGAGAAAAAUCUGUGCAUGACUUUUUUUUUCCCAAAAAAUCCAUGCAUGGUGUCCUUUAAUAUUUGGAGAAAAAUCUAUGUGGGAUCUUUUAUUUUCUAGAAAAAUUUGUGUGGUCUUUUUUGUUAGCCCAAGGGUUCUCCUAAUCAGGUUUUGAUGAUAACAAAUCAUGGUUAAGUGACUAAUUGGUUUAAUGAUUAAGAAUCUCAAACAUAAACUCGAAAAUUCAUCAAAUGACCAAAUGGAUACAAGAUCGAGACGCUUGGAAGACUUGUGAUCAUAGGAAACUAAUGUAAGAUGAAUGCAUGAGUGCACUUAGGAUUUUCACACGUUUCAUGCAAUUUAGAAAACCCAGUUUAUUCUUUAAAACUUCAAUUUCAUUAAAACCCGAGUUUUUAACUAAUGUACCUUAGGCAAAAUGUUUUAUAAUUGGCUUAAUAAUUCACCUAAAUACAUUUUCUAAGUGUUAGAAAAGAAAGGAAUUAAAAAAAGGUUUUCGGGGCAAAAAAGGCUCAACCGGUCGAGGCUAUGGUCAACCGGCUCAACCGGUUGAGGAACCAAUCGAUCGGUUGUGCUUGUCCGAUCGAAGACCAAUCGAGGGAUGCCAAAAAAUUUCUCUCUCUCCUAGUGGCCUUCUCUUCCCGGUCGAGGUUCGGUCUAGGCAACGGUAACAUGUCAAGCAUUAAAUGCUCCGACGACUAGUGAAUCGGUCGACCCCUAGCCCGAUCGGACGAGGUUGCCUUUUGCUGUUUUUGACUCCCGAGCUUAGAAACCUAUAAAUUGAGAGCUCCACUUCAUUUAUUGAUAAAAGAGAACACUUGCAUUCAAUAGUCUACCUACCUUUUCUUGAUCAAAAAGCUCUCAUUUCCUUCAUAGUGCAUUAAAUCAUCACUUGCAUAUCCUUUAGUGCACUAUUGUGUGUCAUCCUAGCUUUGUUUUGUAUUUGAGCUAUCCUUAAGCUAGGUUGAGGGAUUAUUUCUUAUAAAAAUCUGAGUGUUAAAGCCUUCAAGAGAUUUGAAUCUUGAAGAGAUUGUGUAAGAGCCCAUUGGAGCCGGAGUCCAAGUGUAAGAAGAUUGGAAGCUUGGUUGAAGCUUCAAGUUAGUGGAACCCUCACUCGGUUAGGAGGUUGAGGAGAGUGGACGUAGGUAAGGAAGUGUCGAACCAUUAUAAACCCGAGUUUGAAUUCUCUAACUCUAUCUCUUUAUUUUGCUUAUAUUGUGUUUGAAUUUGUUGUGAUUGAAAAGAUUUUAAAAACCUAAUUCACCCUCCCCCCUUUUGGGUUUUUUUUUCUUAAUUAAGCAUAACCUUUGUUUUCUAAUUUUCUUUUUAGGAAAAUCCAUGCGUGGUAUGUCCAAACUCUCCAAGUGGCAGUCUGCCUUCUUCUAAAAAAUUUGUUUCUAUUUCUUUAUUCGACUACCUUCCAUGUCUUCCUAAUGAGUGCUUGUGCUCAAUGGUCAAUCCCUGGUGGUUGCCUCCUUUUCCCAUAUAUACGUGUUGCAAAAUCAACAUCCCACUAUAUGUGGGUUGCCUCUAUGGCAAGUUCACAUUUCCCACAUGAAACCUAUGAGUUUCCACCAAAAAUUGCCAUGAAAAAGUCUUUAUAUGCAUCUCAUGCAAUAAAAAGUCAAGCCAAUACUCAUCUUAUCUCGAAAAAUAAGUAACCAAAAUCAAGAUCAUGCCUAAGUGAACUAUGCCAAAAGAAGUGUCCAAGUGACCUAUUAUGAAAAAAGUGCCUAAGUGACCUAAGGUGAAUGUGUGUAAGCUGGAAGGUGUCUAGGAUGUUUAGGACAAUGCCUAAGCCUAAAAUAGGGUUGCCAAGGGUCACAAUGGGGUUAGAUAAAUCUCUCAAUCAGAGUCUCCAAGGUGGCUCAUAAAAGAUAAGCUACACGAGUAAUGAUGGGCCACCAGGGAAUUAUUGUAAAGCACCAAACGAACACAUAAUAGGACAUGUGUUAGAAUGAAAAAAUGGAGGGUUUACAAGUGGUCUCAUGGAUGAGCUUGAUAAUUUAAAUGACUCACAUAAUGAACGUAUGUGAUGUUUCUCUCCAAUAACAAGCAAAACAUCACUAGCAAUAUGAUGAAUGUCUCCUAAAUCACUUGAAGUAGUCCUAGCAAAUCAAUUAGAAAAAUCACACAUAUUGCUCUAAUGUAAUAUUAUAUACAUCUGUCAAUGAAUGGGAGAACUAAUGACACAACCAUCAUGUUGAUAUCUCGAACCCUCUAAUCUCAUAUGUAGGUGGGAUCACACUUAGAAACUCAUAACACAGUAAUGACCAAUCUAAGUCAAAAUGUGUUGGUGAUCGGAGGCCCAUGAAUAUGAAGUUCUAGGAUGAUAAUGACAUCUUAUAAAGUAAUGAUCAUCUCCUUAAUAGAUAGGUGAAAUGUGUGUGUCUUAGGACACCAUCUCUCAACAAGACUUGUGAUCAAUCCCCAGUCUAGUGUAACAUGCCUAUUAUGACAUCCAUCGUAAAAUCUAGACUAGAUAAUAUAAGGACAAAUGUGAGGGUUCAUCUCCCUUUCCCACAUAAAUUUAAAAAAUUAUUAUUGACAAGUUAAGACCAAACUAAGUUGCAAAAUAUAAAUAAGUCCAUUAGAUAACAAAUUUAUGUUUUCUCAUUUUCUCAUUUUUAAAGAGAUAUUAUGUGCUUCCAUGUACAUACAUGCUAAAGUCAAUUAUACGAGACUUAUAUCCAUCUUGUAGAACCAAAUCGAACCUAUCUAAUAGAUCCAGAUUAGAAGUAUGUCCUCUAUACUCCAUAUUUAUAACACAUUUAUAAAGAUAAAUGCUAAAAAAAUGUUAAAGAUAUAAAUUUAAUGAACCAUACUUUAUGAUUUUAAUUCUCAAUUAUUGUUCAUAUUUAUAAGAGAAAAGUUAAAAAAAUUGAUAGAGUUUUCCCUCUAUCAUGGACAUUAUCCCAAAUAAAAAUAAAUUGAUUAUGCAAAUUACAUUAAUAUUUGUAACCAAAUGAUCAAUAACUAUCUUGUAUCAAUUUAGUAAAUAAAUUUAAGUAUAUCUUUUCAUUUAUGACUAACAAAUAACUCAUACUUGUCCAAUAAAAGCCACACCUAAUUUCUAAAAUUUUGUCUUCACCUCAAGUGAGUGUUACAUUGAGAAAGAAAAAAUAUGAAAGAAAAAAUGAACACCUUUUUCUUUUAAUAAAAAAAGGCCAUAACGAAACAUUAAAUCUCACUGUUACACCUAUCUUCAAUGGAAACAUGAGGAUGUGAAUGGUGGCGGUGAUAUUCUUUGCUUGAAGCUCAUAAACAAAUAUUCCUUACUAAGCCUAUGCCAUUUAGUAUUUCAAUAGUGGACCCCCCCCCCCCCCCCCCCCCCCUCCUUGCAUUUCAGAUUUAGCAAACUUAGAACCAAAUAACAAAGUGCAUUUGAACCCAUAAAGAAGUAAUGAGACUCUCCUAUAUUGGCAAUAGAAGAAAUUUUUGGAGGUAUAGGAGAUUCACGGAUGAAGAAGUUGGGCCCCAAUUGAGAUAAGACCCAAGAAAAGAUGGGGUAGAGAGGGAUGGUUGGAAAUUGUAAAGUAAGAUUUUCAAAAUGUAGUUGAUGACUAAGAUUUUGACAAUUUAAAAAAGGUUUAAAAAUGUAGUUAGCAAUCGGGGUUUUGUAACAUUUAAAAAAUAAAAUAAAAUCUCAGGCCACAUGGUAGCCCAUGUGAUUCAGAAGCUUGAGAAUUAUUUUAUAAGAAGACUUAAUUUGUGAUUUUUUUAUAACUAUAUUAUUUUUUUUCUUAACACACGAAAAAAAUUAUGAAAUAAGACAAUUUUCCUAAGAAAGCAUGUAAGUGACUCUUGGUUAUUUUAUUUAACUUCUUCUAGUUUGGAGAGGAUUAAUACCUUUGCUUUUACUCACUUGCUUGGAUAUGUACACGUUGUUCAUGUCACUUUUCAUUUAAUUUUCUGAUUAAGGGAAUUGGAACCGUACGUAACUGUCUUUAUUCCCUCUGAAACUUGGACUUGGAGUUGGACUUUCAAUCUCAUCAGUCGUGUUUCCAUAAAAAAGAAGAUGGAUUAACCAAUUUUCCUAUGCCUACUAAUCAUACACAAAACUCCACUUCCAAAUAAAAAGGAAUGGGAUAUCACUUGUUAAUAGUGGCUAAAGACUAUUAAUAACCAUGCAAAGAAAUGUCACAUUUUUUGUUCUACGCAAAUUUUAUUCAUCAACUACUAGAACCAUUUCAUACAAUAGUAGCUUUUCGAUCCUUUGAUAAAUGGACACUUGAUGUGAUAACACCAACUACACCUAUAUAUUCAAGCAAUCAUGCGUAUAUAAUAGUGGAUAUGGAUUACUUCUCUAAAUGGGCAAAAGUUUUGUCAUUCAAGGAAAGUGAACGAGGAAACACAAGUUUACUUUCAUCGGAACUAAUAUUAUAUAUUGAUAUGACUUCCCAUUAUUACUUACGAUGGAAUAUGCUUCCAUAAAAUGGCCUAGAUGAACAAACUAUCCAAGAAGUUUGGGAUCAAAUAAUAUAUAUAUAGUUCAUGUGUGAUUCUUUGGUUGACAACCUUGUUAAGGGGUGAGUGAAGCACUUUGGGCAUACCACAUACUACAUGCUAGACUUCCACCCAAGCUACCCUAUAUUCCUUAUGAACAAAGUAGAAGUUGUCAUCUCUCUUGAAUACCAAAUCCUUUCACCUAAUAAUGCUAUCUAAAAAGGUCUUAAAAAGGAUAAAAAUGCGCAUAUUUGAAUUUUUGAAUUAGGAGUGCUACUUAAAAAGAAGCUAGAUAUACAAUAAUAGAAUGUUAUCAAGCAUAUCUCUUCAAAGUUUUUGACCAAAAAAUAUAUGAUUUCUCAUUUUAGGUAGGAGACUUAGUACUCACUAUUCAAAAACCAAUUAUCAUUACUCAUAAAAACUAAUAGAAAGUUUGGGCCAAAGUAGGAUGGACCUUAUAUUAUGCAACAAUUAUGCCUAUAAAAUUGUUGCAAAAGAGGUUUUAGAAUCAAAUCAAUGAAUGAAAAAUUAUUAAAGCAUUACUAUGCUUGAAGGCUAGUCAUUUUCCCUUAAAGUGCAAUAUUAAGUUGCAUAGUACUAUGUGGAUCCGCAUUUUUCACAUGCGUUCCCACUCAUUGUCGAGACUCACUUUUUAGAAGUGAAAAAUUAGUUUUAUUAAAGUCGAAGUUGCCACUGGGGAUUUGAACCCUAACAAAAGGUUCAAUUUAAGGAUAAAAAUAUCGAUAAUCACAUAUAUAUAUAUUGGUACUUUGAUUUUAUGAAUAUAUUGAAGAAAUAUGGACAAAUAUUUUGACACAAAAUAUGUACAAAAUAAAAAUUAUAUAAAAAGUAAAAAUAAAUAUUUUAAAAUUAUUUUUUUAAAUAUAUAUAUAUAUAAUUUGACAUAUUUGAUAAUAAUAUAUAAGGGUCUCCAAAAAGCCCGUGGCCCGCUUUAGGCCCGGUCCGACCCGACAGGCUAAAGCCCGGCCCAAGCCCGCCGGGCCCAAGCUCGGCCCGAGCCCGUUUAUGGGUGGGCCGGGCCGCGAGCCCGUAGGCCUGCUCCUUUAAAAAAAAACUACAAAAAUAAAAAGUAUUAAAAAAAAUAUUCAUUUCAAAAUUUUAUUCAUUGAAUGUAUAAUUACAUUUGAAAAUGUGGGAAAAGUUUACAUCACUACAAAAUAAAUACAUCCCAACUAGGUUGGCACCUAUUUAUUUGUCAAUCAUCUGUAUUUUUCAACCACAAAAAAUAAAAAUAAAAAUAUAAUAUACAUUUAGUCAUUAUUUUCUGGCGGUGAUGGCGAACUAUCAUGCAUCCAUGAAGAUCUUGAUAAUUUUAAAGAUUCCAUAUCGGUAAGCAUCUUUGUUUCUCGAAUGGAAUCAUACAUCCUUUUAUCUGCUAUUUCCCAAUCUUUCACACAUAUCCCUGCUUUAAUAACAUCUGACGCUAAGUUGCAUCGUUUUUUACUAACUACUCUUCCACCUGCACUAAAAGCAGCUUCUGAUGCAACUGUACUCACAGGAACUGUUAGUACAUCACGAGCAAUUAUAGAAAGCACAGGAUAUUUGUGUUGAUGUGAUUUCCACCAUAUUAAAAUAUUAAAAUCUUCUUGAUCUUCAAAUGAAAUUAUAUCAGUAUUAAGAUAUUUAUCUAAAUCAGAUGUAUUAUUUGGAGAAUUAUUUGUUGUCUUUUUUCGACUUUUCAACAUUUCUAGAGCUCCUUUAUAAAAAGAUGAGGAGUUUGUAGAUGUAGGUGGUAAUUUAAUAGUAUUAAUAUCAUUACCAUAUUUUUCUUUAUAAUAGUUAUAUAAAUUAUAUAAUAAUGAAUUUAUUUCAUUUUUAAUUUCUUCAAUUUUUAUUUGGUCAUUAAAAUAAAUAAUUGUUAACCAUUCAUCCAAAGCUUCAAAUUUCAAUCUAGGGUCCACAAUUAAAGCAAUAUAAAAAAUUAAAGGUAUUUCUCCCCAAUAUUUUCUAAAUUUUUAUAUCAUUACAAAUAUUGUAUCAUUAAAUAUUUCAAAACUUAAAUAUUUUUGAAGUACAAUAAAAAUAUUAGUUAUUUGCGUAAUAACUCGAUUUGAAGUUGGAUAAUAUACACCACAAAAAAUGUUUGUUGAAGUAUCAAAAAUUUCAAAAAGAUCUCUUAAAACAUCCGCAAUAUGCCAAUCAUAAUCAUUUAAUGCAUAAAUAUCUGCUUCAUAAUCAUUGUUAAUUAAUUGUAUUUCAUAUAAUUCGACUACUUUUCUAUAUUUUGUAAUAUUUUCUAAAAGUUUAUAUGUGGAAUUCCAUCUAAUAGCCAUAUCCAAAUUUAUAUUUUUUCUUUUCAUAUUUAACAUUUUGCAACAAUCAAAAAAUAAUUCAUGUUUUGCUUGAAAACUAUUAAUACUAUAUGCAAUGCCUCUAAUUUUUUUCCAAUGUACUAUCAACAUUUUUUAAUCCAUCCUUUACAAUUAAAUUUAAAAUAUGUGCACAACAACGCACAUGAAAUAUUUUAGCAUGAUCUUCUUUUACUUGCCAAUAUCGUUUUAGUCUAUGUAUUGCUGCAUCAUUAUUAGCAGCAUUAUCUAAUGUUAUUGUCAAUAUUUUAUCACGAAUGCCUAAAUCUAUAAUUUCAUCAUUUAUUAAAGAUGCUAUAUUUUUACCACUAUGUGGAGUAUUUAUUAAUUUAAAUAAAAUUAUUCUUUUAUUUAAUUUCCAUUCAUUAUCAAUGUAGUGAACAAUUAUAUAUAAAAAACCAGUAUGAGUUAAAGAUGUCCAAAUGUCAGAUGUUAAACGAAUAUUUCCUUCAAAAUUUGCAAAAUUUUUUUUUAAAAUUUCUUUUUGUGUAUAAAUUUUUUUCAUAAUAUCUCUUUUAACUGUAUUUCCAGAUCAACCUUUAAAUUGAGGAUUAAUACCUCGUUGAAUUGUUCUUGCAAAAUCAUGAGUUUCCAUCAUGUUGAAAGGUUGUUCUGCUCUUAUUAUAUAAUCAAUCAUUUCUUCACAACAGUUAGAUUCAUCAUAAGAAAAUGUUUUUAAAUUUCCACUUUCAUUUUUACUUAAUUGCAUAUAAUUUCUAAUAUCUACAUUAUUUUUAGUUUUACAAUUUUCAUGAUGUCUUUUUAAAUGACUUGUAUCUGCAUUUGAGCCACCAGUAAGAAAUUUAUUACAAAUUUUACAUUUUGCUUUUAUUUUUUUUUUAUUAUUUUCUAAAAUUAUUUCUAUUCUAUCAAAAAAAUUCCAUAUAUUUAAAGUAAAUUUUUUGUUUGAUGAUAUUUCAUCACAUGGACUAGACGAAGAAGCACUUGUCAUAUUAUAAUUAUUGAUAAAAUAUUAUGCCAAAAAUAAUAAAGUAAUAAAUAUAAAAAAAAAUGUAACAAAAAAAAUAAAGUAGUAGGGGUGAAGUAUGUUACUCAAUUAGAGAACCUAUGCAGAAAUUCCUAGCAAAUUUGAACUCUUGGAGCCACCAAUGCUUGUUUUGCACCAUCAACAAUAUUGUAUAAUUUGAGGGAAAAAUAAAAGAAUUUAAAAUAUUGUAGAAUGUGAGAGAAAUAGAGAGAAUUUGAUGAAAAAAUGAAAAGGAAGAAAAUGUAUUUAUAGGAAGGUUAAAAAUAAUAAUAAUAAUAAUAAUAAUAAUAAUAAUAAUAAUAAUAAUAAUAAUAAUAAUAAUAAUUGGCCAUGUGACCGUUGGAGGCUUAGCUCCAACGGUCACAUGGGCUGGAGCUAGGCUCCAACAGUCACAUGACCGUUGGAGCCUUUAAUUUUUUUUUUUAAAAUAAUAUACUUUAUUUUUAUAUAUAUAUAACUAACUCAAUUAAUAAACAUAAAAAGAAUAUAGUUCAGUUGGUUAGAACCUUGAAGUUUAAACAUGAGGGGAGGGGUUUGAAUCCCUCCCUCUCCCUUAGGGGCUUUUUUAAAAGCCAUUUUGGCUUAUUUCAAAAAGCCUGUCGGCCCGACCCGCCCUGCAGCCCGCGGGCCUAGCAUUUUAGCAUGGCCUGGUCUGUUGACUAGUCAAAUGGCUCAUAGGCUCGGCCCGAACUGGGCCGCGGGCCUCUUAUUUACGGACCGGCCCGACCCGGCCCGCCCGUUGGAGACCCUUGAUAAUAUCUUCUAUAUUAAGUUACAUUAUAGUUUAUUUUACAAUAUUAUUAUGAUAAUAUGUCUAAUUUUAAAAUAUAUUUAAUAUUAAAAUUAUGAUCUAUUUUAAUUUAAAUGUAUUCAAUGAUAUCAAAUAAAUAAUAAUAUAUGUAUAAUUCUUUUAUUAUUUAUAUUUAUUAUUUUUAAUAAAUAUAUAGAUUAUAUAAAAAAGACCGGAUAUAUCUUUUCAAAUUUUGUAUCGCUCUCCAAGGAUAUUAGAUGUAUGGGAAUUUGUAUUGCUAUCUACGGAUACGUUGAUAUAUGGGUGAUUUAUCAGGAUAAUUAGAAAUUCUAAUUAUGUAAGCAGGUACGGAGUUCUGUGUCGGUGCGAUCUUGUCGACAACAGCUCCAAAUUGUGCAUCUUGCUCAUAGAGAGUAGCGGAAUGCACCAAUCGUAGGCUCAGAGUACCACUGAGUCGUCUGGCAGAGACCCAACUGAAGGUGCCUGUGUUGUUCCUGAUCUGAUCAGGCUUCAAACUACAAGGUGGAAUACUGGUUCCCCUAUAUCAGAAGCUGGAGAUACCCACCCCAUAUGCUCGUCUGGAUGUGCUCCUACCCUUUGAAGCCUUCUUCCGAGUCAAGUCCGAAUUGAUAAGGCUAGUGAGUUCCCAACCAACUGUACUCAGCAUGCUGCCAGGUGGAGACCCUCCAUAUUUGAUGGCUUCCUAAUAUUAAAAUGCUGACCACUGGUCUUCAUGUUCCACAGGCUUAAUUGUGUCCUUUGCUGAAAGAAUGGAUAGUGAUCCAUUUUAACACAUGAUUCACGCCGUCUUUGCCAUUCUUCAUGGUCUAGCCCUUUUAUAUAUAUGCUUCCUGAACUGUUGCUAUUAAUAAAAUGUGGUAUCUAUCCCGUACACCUUCCUGAUGGCCAGCGAAUGCAGAAGCUACAGAAACGGUUCCAUCUUUUGCUUCCGCCACUUUGGCAUCCUCCAUGAUGAGAUCGAAGGUGAAUAAUCAUAUUCUGGGGAUUUAUGUCCUGGAUAUUCUCAGUAAUGCCCAAUUUCCUGGUGCCGGCCUCAUUUCCAUGGGAACUGAUGGAUAACUUAAGGCUUCUACCAUCUGCGUGGUUCGCUUCUAACACAGGAAACUUCACGGCUAAAAGCAAGAUACCAAGAACAUCAAGGCUGUGACAAAAAUUAGUAUUUUUAACUUGUAGGAAUUUGAAAGGCAACCAACCAUCUAGCUCUGUUCUUAAAGCUCCCAUAGGAGGAUCAGAGGCUGGAUUGCUCAAGAUGAACUCAUCCAUUGUUGCACUUAAAAAGAAUUGGCAUGAAUUGUGGCCGCUCUAAUAGGUUCCCUAAACCAUCAUCCAAGUGGGCUUGCGGAAGGUAGCGAGUUUAAAACACCUAGGGCGAUGAACAGUGGACUGUGAUGCUCACAAAAGAGAAAAGGAAGAAUUCAAUAAUUCCUAAGAAUCCAUUUGCCUGUCAUCCAAAUUUUUAUAUUCUCUUCAGUCUGACGCGUUAUGCCAUAUAUUAAAAAUAGCGGCUUCUUCCAAGCCGAGACAGACUGUGCAAAGUUCGCAAGGCCAAUCAUCACCAUAAUCUGAAGUUGGCCUCCUCAAUCGCAGCUUGUAUCCGAAUGCUCACUUCACGGGAUGGAUUGUAAUGAAAACUAAUCUCAGUCCCAGCUAUGGCAGCAUCCUCACUUGACAGCAUUUUCUGCAUAUUCUAGAACAAAGCAAUAAACCCUCAAAGGCUCCUUCGGAUCAGAGUUAGAAGACUGUCCCUCAGGAACGUGAACACUAUGGUGGUUCUGAUAAGCAGUGAUAUUGCAUUAGAGCCUUUUGGAACAAGAGGAUCUUUUCAGGUGGAAACUGUAAACUGCUUCAUGUUGGGCUGCAACCUUUUCUUCAAGCAAUACUUUCUUUCUGUAUCACGACUUAUGUUGCUUCCGGAGCCAUCCCGUGUGGACUGCCCUUCAGUGAAAGAAUAUGUGUGUUGACAUGUUGGAUUGUAAUCUUUGUUCCACUCUAAUGGCUUUUGGUCCUCCUCUUUCUCUUUAUGACAGAGAACCAUUUAGUGAUCCAUCUCUAUAUUGUAGCAUUGCUGGUGCUUUGCAAUACUACACUCUCACCAAGCAUAACAUCUAUUUUUCCGUGACCAAAGUAUGUCGGUUUAUGCAUGCGCAAACUCUUAUUCAUUGGCAAGUUGUCAAGCGUAUCUCAUGAUUUCCCAAAGCCACAAGUUCUUAUGGUCUUUCUGUUCAAGCUUACAAUGAUCUAUCUUUUCUUGGUUAUACUGAUGUCGAUUGGGCUAGUUGCCCUGAUAACAAGCACAAUACUAGUGGGUACAACACUUUUCCUGGUCCUAAUCUCAUUUCAUGGGCAUUUUCAAAGCAGAAGGUUGUGUCUCACUCCAAUAACGAAUCUGAAUAUAGGGGACUCACUAAUUAAUGUUGUUGCCAAGGUCACUUGGAUUGAAUCUGUCUUACGUGAGUUGCGUGUUUCUCUACCCCAACCACCAAUUUUGUUGUGUGACAACAUUAGUGCUACACACUUGGACAAACCAUGUUGAAAUACACUAUCAUUUUAUCCAUGAAAGGCUUAUGCAUCACACACUCAAAAUUCAAUACACCUCUUCUAUAGACCAACUAGUCAAUGCUAUGACCAAAGCUCUUCCUUCAUCUCACUUGUACAAUCUUCAGUGCAAGCUGAUUGUUCUUCCCAAACCACUCAACUUGAGGGGAGAUGUUAAGCCAAUUUAAUAAAUUGAUUUCUUUUGGUUAAUUUGUUAGAAUCAUUUUUAUUAGAGGUUUGUUUGUACAAUUACAUCCAUUUAUCAGGAGAGUACACGUGUACAACUCCUCUUUUAAUCUCACCAUUGUAUAUAUAUGAUACACGACCUUACUCAGAAUUGCAUAACAUUUCCUCUGCUCAUUCCUUUUCUUCUUUGAAUUUUCCCUUACCUCACUGAUUUUGAUUUAUACCUGGUGUUUUCACCUUUGGUCUCUACCUUUCUAGCCAGUUUUCUAAUUAAUCCGUAUAUGGUAUACCUGUCAACUAAUGAGGAGAAAGAGAAAAGGGGAUUGCUGUUCCACCAGCUACAUAUAAUAAUUAAUUACAAUCAUGGUAAUGGAUCCUGAAAUCCAUCCUUUGUGGAUUUUGUACGGAAUAUUGUUGUUAUGUAUGUGGGCUCACUUAGAUGUAUAUUGCUAGCCUGUCUGGGAAAUGUGAUUGCAGGUCCAGAUUAUGAUGUUGAUAUUAGUGGGAUAAGCAAGAGAUGCAGUUAACACGUAUGUGAUGGACUUGAGUAACUUUUCCAUUUCAGUCCAUUUUUUAAGAUUAUGCUUAGUCUUAUUACAAGGAAAGACCAUAAGAAUCAUGAGUCAUUGGCAAGGUAAUAUCAUUCCCUCUUUACAGGCUUCUUCACCUUUUGGUUUUUUUAAUAUCCAUCAAGAUCUUUUAAUUGGAGGACAAUUACAAGUAUAUAUAUAUGUAUUAAAAGGGGAAAAUAUUAAAACAGGAAAUUUUAGGGAAAAUAUAAUAAUUAUUUCUUCCUUCUUUCCCAUAUAGAACUACACAAAAUAAAACUUUAAUAAUUUUUUCUUAUCUUUUUUAUUAUUAUUUUUUCUUAGAAACAUCCGUGGUCUCACAAGCUUGUAAUCCUAGAUUGUUAGGCUCCUUUAACAGUGCCCCAACAUCGUGGUCCAAUGACAAGCUUCCACGCCUUAAAAUCAGAAAAUGCCAUUAAACUUUAUCAGACAUUACAGUUCAAGACAAAGCUUUCAUUUGCUUAAUGUGAUAAUGAAAUUGUUAAUUUCAUUUCGUGGGCAUCUAAAUUUGGACGAGCAAGACCUCUGAAUUCCCUGUUUUUAUCACCAGCAGAGGAGAUAAAAUCUUAAUGGUGAGAAUCUCCACGUGAAAUUUAUGUGUACUGUCAACAUAUUUUUGUUUAUAUAGUCCAGUAGCUGCAGGAAGUCUAGAUUAUAUAGGUAGCAGUAGCACUAUUUAUAGCACUCGAUAUUCGCUGUAUGAAUACAUUAAACCUUGUUUUCAAUACGCAUCACAAGCAAGUACUAGAUACUACAAGGAGUGACAGUCGCAUCAACAUUUCUUGAUAAUAGCAGUGACUGAUUUAUACACAGAACAGUACUGUACACGUACCAGUCACCAGAGAUAGGAUCUUAUUCCUACAUACGACUCUUAUUGAUCGAAGUCACUCAGUUGGGGUAGCCUGGAGUUGGAGGUUUGUGUGGUGGCUUCUUCUUUGGAGGAGGCUUUAUCUUUGGAGGCAUCAUCUUUGGAGGCAUCUUGUGUGAGUCUUCUUCAGCAUUCUCUACAGGAGGAUGGCCAGGCUUAUGACCCUUAGGUGGUUUGCCAACUGGGAUUGGUGGCUUGUGUCCUGAGAGUGGCUCCUCUUCUUCGGGAGGUUUGCCAACUGACGUUGGUGGCCCGUGUCCUGGGGGUGGCUUGUGUUUUGGGGGUGGUUUCACUCCACCGGGAGGUUUACCAAUUGGUGUUGGUGGUUUGUGCUCAAUCGGUGGCCUCUCAACUGGGGGGCGCUUGGGGUAAUCAGCGAGUGAAGAAGUGGUGAGAACCACCACUCCAAGCAACAACACUAGCAAGUAUGUGGAAGACAUCUUUGAGUUUGGCUCAGAUGGUGUAGAACUAGAAUCCUGGGUGGCCUUUUAUAUUAGUUGGGCCCUAUGCCCGAACGACAAGUGUCAUGGUGACACAUAAAGUGAUGGGGUCGAUUUGGGCCUACCGGAUUUGAAAACUUGGACAAUUCGAGAAGCGUCUCCUGACUCCGGGUUGUAAAGUGAAAGAUUAGGUAUCGACCAUUGAAGUAUGAUCACAACUUUUGGCCUUUGGCUCUCUCUACUGCCGUAUAGCUUUUUUCCUUUGGAUAUUUUUCUUAGCUAGACACAAUUAUUGAGCAGUCUAAUCUCGAAAUGGGAUUAGUAUAGCUUUAAGCAAAUUUAUUAUAGUUAGUGGAGGACUUUUAAGAGUGCAGACGACAUUUAACACAUGCAUGCAGUAGUAUAGGGGACAUAACACUAUUCUUUUUCCAAAGAUUCACAUGAUUUUUAUAUUAUAGUAUUGGCACAUUGUAUGUAGCUGGUUUUGUGGUUAAAAUUCCAUAUGUAGACACUGGCGUUUCUCCAUUUCUCACAAUUGAUGUUUACCUCCACGAUUACUAGAUUAGAUAUACCAAACAAUAACACAUUGUAUAAUCUAUCCGCCCUUCAAAAUCUACUGUAUGAUGAAAUGUUUCAUGUGUGUGUGAAGUGUUAGAAAUGCACUAUAGGCAACAUCAUCUUCUUUUGUCUAGGCUUGGGCCUCAAAUUAUACUCCCAUGCCAUGAUAAAUUUUCAUGUGCAUUCUCUAAAGAAGAGUGUCUUGAAUGUGCCAAAUCAUUUUGAUUGAUUUUAUGAUGUUAAUUGCUCCGCAUAUGGAUGGGUAUGUGCUUUAUUUGCUUAUUCAAUCCACAAUUACCUUGAACUGAAGUCCUAUUGGAGCUCUAUUAUUUUAGCAACGUCCUGUCAAAUAGGCUGCUAACUUGGGGUGGUAUGGACCCAAUGAUCCAUCUUAAUCUUGGGUUGAUUUUGUCUGACUCUAUCUAUCUCAGAGAGAACCAGGAUCACCAGUGCUGGUCUGCUUAAAGAAGACUCAGUACUGGAUUAAUAUUGGUUUGGGUCAAUAGCUUAUAAUGCAUUGAAUGCAGAAUAAACAAGAUCAAUGAAACCCAAAACACACUGCCCACACAACUUCACUCUGGUGUCUGUUAUUCAUCAAUUCUAUUCCCACAUGAACUGGUUCAAGUUUAAGAAAAUGACAACGGAUCCACUGUAUUAACUUGGUUUUGCUUGGUUUUGAGCUAGUUGCCAAACCAGCCAUGAGUUUUACCUCUAAUGUCAAUGAACAAACCCCAAAUGAACAACUGCAACAGCUUAAAGAGAAGGAAUGGAGAUGAAAAUCCCUGUUUCUUCUCAUUCUGGGGACAAAUUAGAACAUAACUACAAAGGUUCUAUUAAUUGACUUACUCUACCAUGAAUUAUGGUUCUUUGGUUUUCCAAAUUUAAAUUGUACAUGAGAUUAUUUUUUUCCUUUAUAUAUAAACAUAUUAAGGUUUUCUUAUUUCGUGGGCAAAUGCGCUAAGGAUGAAAGUCAUUUCAUUUGGCUGCAACAGCAUCUUAUAAUCAACAUGCAUAAGCAGCAGUUUUAAUUGAUCGAUUGAACACCGACUCACAAGAAUAGAUAGAAUGGUACAAGACAGCUCUUAUUAAUUUAUACUCGUUACUCAUUUUAUGUAGCCCCAUUAAGAUGGCUGGCUGGACCACCGAGGUCUGGGGGUGGUGUUGCUUGUGUGAUGCAGCGGGCCGGGCAGACACUUCUCUAGUUGCUUCUAUUUGGAGUUAGAGGAUCAGUCUCUGCCAACCUUGAGGACUCUCUACCUCAGAGGGUCCAGGUGGUGGACUCUGGUGUCGGUAGCUUUGAACUCUCAGUAGACUAGUGUGUCUUAAUCAGUCACUGCCAGAGGCUGGCGUAGGCAGUGACGAUAAGGUGAGACAAAUUACCGAAUAGUCAAUAUCGACUGCACUUGACCAUUAUAGAUUUGUUCUGACAAAAGUGAGAAAAGGGAGAAAAUCGGAUGUUGACCUUUAUAGAAAAAGAUAAGAUUUACUGCAACACAGAGCACUGAUUUGUUACUUGGAAACCAAGUUAUGCUAUUAGCUAGCCUCCAUUAGCAGCAGGGUACCUUGCUGCCUGAUCCUAAUCUGAGUUCCCAAGGUUUCAAUCUUCGUUUGUUAACGCUUCAGGAUUUGGAUAUUUCAGCUUCGUUUCUCCAUUUAGCCAACGCUGCCUGGUUUGGAUUUCAAUCCUCAUCUGGAACAUUCUUUUUUCGGUCUGAUUCAGGAAGUGUUUGGUGAUAGUUGAUUAAAAUUAAACAGUACUAUCAUACAAAUAAAGCUGAUCUAAUUUUGGUGGGCAAUAUACCAACUCAUUUAUUCUUGAAAACACCAUGGGGAAUUGGAGGUCCAUCCGAAGUACUAUUUGAUGGGACUCACAAAAAGAACAGGUGCACAUUUAUGAGAUCCGUGGAAGAGAUAACUAUGACAGCUAUGCAUGUACAACAGAUUUAUGUCGAGUUCACCUCGUAGAUAUUUUGUUUUCAGUGUCGGUGGACCCCAAAAUGGAAAUCGGAAAUUAAGGUUAUAUUUAUUUUUUUAUUUAAUUUUAAAUAGAAUUUUAAUUUUUAAUAAUAUUAAGUAUUAAAUUAUUUUUUUAAGGGUAUUUUAUUUUUAUUAAGUAUUAAAAAGUAAAAAAAAUUAAUAUGUUGCUUUUUUAUUUUAAAAAAAUUAUAUAUUUUAAUUUUUUCUAUUUACUAAAAAGUUUAUAAUAAAUUAUAAAAAAAUAAAAAAAUAAAAAACUUAAAUUCUGAAAAUAAAUUAUUUUUAAUAAAAAAAUCCAAAAAAGCAAACACCACCUAAAUUUGAGAUGACUCAAAAUUUUAUAUUUUUUUUCACCUAAAUUAUAUUCAUAAAUUUAAAAUUAAAAAAUUAGGAAGUUGAAUUUUAUUUUGGAUAAUUGGAAACUACAAGAAAUCAAUAAAAAUAUUUGGAAAAAAAAGAAAAAGAAAAACUAUCUAUAUAUUCACCCCCUUCUAAGAAACAUAACUUUAGUUUUUAACUAUUUUUUAAAAUAAUUUUUGAAAAAUGUUAUAUAAUAUUUUAUAAAACAAAAAAUCUGUUUGACAAUUUGAUAUGUCUUUAACUUAUUUUUAAUAUUUAUAUAUAUAUAUUUUAAAAAUAAUUUUAUAUUUAGAACUUUAUCUUUAAUUAUUAUAUAUAUUUAUAUAAUUAUUUUUUUUAAAACAACUCUUAAAAAAUAAGUGAAAGUAAUUGAAAACAACUCAAAGAUAUUUGAUGAAAACACUCUAAUUUGUAUUUUUGAGAAUAAAAAAAUAAAUAAAUAAAUUUCUAGUUAUCAAAUGUAUUUUUUAAUUCUUUUAUUCUAAAAAAUAGAAAAUCGUUUUUGAAAAUAAUUAUUAAACAACAUUCUUAAAAAUUCACUCGUUACAAUCUAGAUUUAAUGCAAGAAUGAUUGAAGGAGUCCUCCAAUAGAACCCAAAGUUAUAAACAUGAACAAGAAGCCCUAGAAACACCAAAGAUCUCAUAUGGUAUAUAUAUGAGCUUGAUUGAGAACUGUUUUAAAUUCAGUUUUUUUUUUUUUUUUUUUUUUUUGUUUUCAAAGUCAAAACAAGUUUACUUUUAAUUUUUACUUCUUUUUUUUAAUUUUAUAAAUAACAGUUUUUUAAUAAUUUAUUUUGAAAACAUGAUUAUUUUUAAAACUUAUAAUGAAAAUAGGAAUUUUUUUUUUAAUAUCAUGGUUAUUUUCCCUUCUUUUAAGGAGGGCUAUUUUAAAAAUAAAUUUACAAAUAUGAAAAAUGAUUCAAACUAAAGCAGUACAAAUAAAAAACAUUUUUAAGAAAUAUUUAAAAAUAGAGAAAAUUAUUUGAGAACAUUUGAAGUCCUUAAAUAGACUUUUGUUUUAGAAAAGGCAAGAUAAUUAUUUUUGAAAAUUGUUUUCAUAAUGAUAUGCAAAAACCUACGUAAAAACCAUAAUUAUAAUCGGCCACAUAUCAAAUCUACUAAAUAUGAAAAGUAAGUACAUAAUUAUAUUUGACUUAGAUGCAAGGAGGAAAAUGUCGCGAUAUUAUCGCCGAAAUAUCGUGUGUCGAAGGGUAUCGACACGAUUUUUCUUGCAGAAAUAUCGGCCAGUCGAUUUUUCGGGAUAAAUCUCGAGAAAUCGGCAAUUUAUCGCGAUAUAUCGGCGAUUUUUCCUCGAUAUAUCUUCUGGUCAACGCGGGUCAACGGAGUCAACACGCUACAGUGAAAGUCAAAUGUGCUACAAUGUCCCCGCUACAAUCACCUCCCCAAACAAAUUGCCAAAUUGCUUCCGAGGGGAUUUGAACCAGCCUUCUUGCCAUUUGGGCUAACUCGCCCUUAUGAUAUAUAUUGCAUUAAACAUAUAUAUACUUAAAGUCCUUAUAUAAAGAAAAUGUUAAAAAAAUAUUUUAAAGAGCAAAUUAAUUAUAAUUAUUUUAUAAUUAAAAGCAAAAUUUUCUUUUAAUUAAUUACCAAAAAUAUAAAAAUUAUAUAAUUUUCUUCAUAAUGUUUUUAAUAUCAUUAAUAAUUAAUUAAAUAUUAAAAAAUUAUAUAUAUAUAUAUAUAUAUAUAUAUAUAUAUUAUAAUUUAUUUUAUAUUGUUUAAUACAAUUGAAUUAAAUGGAUCAUAUUUUAAUAUUAAUAUAUAUUUUAAAAUUAGACAUAUUGUAAUCAAAUAUCAUAAUAUUAUAUGUAAUUUAAUAAUAAAUGUACACUUAUAAAAUUCAUAUUUUUAUCGAUGCAUACAAUAUUAUUAUCAAAUAUGAUAAAUCAUGUUAUACAUAUAUCAAAAUUUUCAAUAAAAUAACUUUAAAAUGUCUAUUAUACUUCUAAUUAUAUUAUUAUGAGGUUUUCUUUACAUUUUCAUGAGUUUUAAACAAUUUUAAGCACCAAUAUUUUUUUCCAAAAUAUCCACCGAUAUAUCUCCGAUAUAUCCAAUAUAUCUCCGAUAUCUCCGAUAUAUCCGUAAAAUCGAAGUACCGAUAUAUCCGUGAUUACCGAUAUUUUCAUCAUUGCUUAGAUGCAACCUUCUUCCAAAUGACAUACUUUAGUCAAUACUUAUAUUUUUUCGUUUCACUUCUUUGAUACAACACCUCAUGGAUUUAUUGUUUAAUUUAUUUGUAAUUAUAAAACUAUUUUUCAUUUUUAAUAAGACUUGAAUUAAUUUAAUAAAUAUUAUAUAAUUUGAAUUUAUAAUUCUUUUUAUAAAAUCAAAGUAUAUUAAAAAAAAAACAAUUUAUCCGAAGAAAGUUUUUUAUUUUUUAUUUUUUAAAACCGAUUUUAAAAAUAACUAGCUAGACACCCUUAUUUUGAUAAAAUACGAAAUAAAAGUGUAAAAACAACAUGGCCAAAUAGGGGCUUAAAUUUUAUUUUUAAAACAUUUUUUUACACUAAAGUGCAUUUUAAAAACACCAUCAAAACCAACUACAAGUUAUGCUUCUUCCCGUAAUAGAAAUAUUUUAGGCCAAAAUAGAACCUCCCCAAAUAAAGACCCUAUACUAAACUCCUUUUCAUUUUAUUAAUACAAAAGUGGGGAAAAAAGGUCUAUGCUCACCUAAAAAACAUGAAUAUUGUGAAUUCACCAUUUCUAUAAGGAAGUUGAAAACUUCAAAAUUUUAUCAACAAAUUCUCUAAAAUCCUCAAAAUAUAUAGGGCCUGUUUCACAAAGUUUUUUAAAAUUUGUUUUUAUAAAUUGCUUUUAAAAUAUAGAAUAAAUAACAGUUUUUUAGAUUUUUUGAAAAAUAAGAGUGUUUGGUAAGAUGUUUUUUUUUUUUUUUUUUUUUUUAAGAAUUAAAUAAAAAAUAAAAAAAUUGUUUAGAUAAAAGAAUUUGUAUUGUUUUUAAAAACAAUGUCUUACUUUUAUGUUAUAAAAAUUUUAUUAAUUUAAUUUAUAAUAAUAUGAAAUGAAAUUCAAGUUAAGUCUUAUUAAAAAAUACAAAUUAAAUCUAUAAUUAUGCAUGAGUUAAAGAUAAAUAUAUAUUUUUUAAAACUAUAAAAUAAAUUUUCUAUUAUAGUGAAACAAAAAUUACUAUAAAAUAAAAAUAAUUUUAAUAUUCAUUUUUAAUACAAGUCAAAUAAGUACUUUAAUUAAUUUUUUUUAUCAUGAUUUCUUAUGUUUUUUUUUUUUUCUAGAAAUUAUUUUAAGUAAUAUAACUAAUUUUUUUUUUAAUGUUUUAUAAAAAUAAGGAUAUUUGGCAAGUUGUUUUUAUAAAAGGAUUUUAAAAAUAAAUGGAUUUUUUUUUUUUUUAAAAAAAGAACAAAAUGAUUUGUUUGAAUAAAUUGUUUUGAUUUUGUAAAAACAUUUUAAAUUCAAUUUAUAUAAUAUUAAUUAAUUAAAUUAAAUUGAAGUUUUAUUGAAAAUAAAAAUAAUUUUGUAAUUAAAAUUAGAUUAAAAAAUAUAUAGGUUUUAAUAAAUCGUAAAUAGUAAUAUUAUAAUAAAAUUAUAAAUUAUAUUUUUAACAUAAAAUAUACUAUUUAUUACAUAUUAAAAAAAAUAUUUUAUUAUAUUAAUAAUUUUAUGGUAUUAAUGAGUUUAUUAUUUAAGUUUUAAAUUAUUUUUAAAAAUUAAUAAAUUUGUUAACAAAUGCAAUGUACUAAAUGUGGUUUAAUUUGGAGUUAAUUUGUUUAGGGAAAAAAAUAAAAAAUAAAAAUCUUAUGUAAAAGAGAAAUAAUAGAGUGUGUGUGUUUUUUUUUAUUAUUUUUAAAAAUCAGUAAAAAGAACUUUUACUUAUUGCCUAAAAAUUAUUCUCUAUUUUAUUUUAUUUUUUAAAUCUAGAAAUAGAUAACAAUAAUAAAAAAAAUUAAAAAAGAAAAAUGUUUUUUAAAACUCAGACUUAUAAUUGCUUUUGUUUCUCAUUCGCACCCCUGGAUUCCUGGAUUCUAAACACAAAAUUAAGUUGAAUCGUCCAUCUAUCUUGUAAGCCAAGAAUUCACAUAGAAGAAAUAAUCGGAAUUUGAUUUGAUAUCAGAUUUAGAGUGGCUCACUACUCAUGCAUUGUCCCACAAUAGUAAUGCUUUGGGCCGAGAUAAACCCAUUUGUGGGCCCAAAUAAAACCCCUGGUUUGAAAACAUCGAUUUUACAGUGGCCCAAAAGAUUAUCUAUGAGGGGAAGAUAACUUGGAAGUCAAGCAAACACAUUUAUCGCUAACUUUUCUCUAAUUAUAAAAUUAUAACUUGGUCUUCUACACGUCUCACUUAAGAGGCGGAGCCACUUGGCACUACCUUUCCAUAUUGUAAAAGGAGAAGAAGCAGAAGGAGAAGAUUCUUAUGCCAUUCCACACACCAUGGCUAGUACUGCUAUGCUGCUUGGCCCGCCGGCUCUCCGCCAUCCUAAUUCUCCCGCCGGCACUGUCUUUGAAGAUGGGGUCAUUCUAACGGAUUCCCUGAUCGUCCGCACCAGUAAUCUGGAGCUUUCUGAAAAACCGCCACUGGAAUCCCUGGCGUAGUGCUCUGUCAGUGGGGAUAUUGCUAUGGAUUGUUUGGAUUCCCAAGCCCACAAUCUUCAUCUUCCCGGGAAACCGCCGAUGGGCUUAACGGAAAACAAGUCUCCGACCUUUUUGUCUUCCGGGAACCCGUGCUUGGACUUCUUCUUCCAUGUGGUUCCCGAUACGUCGUCUGAUGAUCUGAUCCGACGGUUUGAGUUGGCUUGGGAAUUCAAUCCGCUGACGACGUUAAAACUGAUAUGCAACUUGAGAGAGGUGAGAGGCACCGGAAAAUCUGACAAAGAGGGUUUCUACACGGCGGUUCUCUGGCUCCACGACCACCAUCCCAAAACCCUAGCCUGCAAUGCUAGGGUGUUGGCCAGCUUCGGUUAUUUCAAGGAUUUUCUCGAGAUUCUCUACCGGCUUCUGGAGGGCCCUAAAAUUCGAAGAAUCGAAAAGAAAGACUGGCUGGAUCGAAAAGGAAGGAAGAAAAAUUCCCGGAAAAGGAACUCAAUAUUCAAGCGAGAAAAUAGGCCUGGAGUUGAAUUUCCUGUAGAAGAGAAGGAUGUGGAGUAUAUGGUGGAAGAAUUUGUGGAUAAAGAAAAGGCUAGGGUACUGAGAAAGGAGAGAGAACUUGCUCUUGCCAAAAGAGCCCUGCACAAGUAUUCUACUGAUUCUAAUUAUCAGUUCUUACAUGAUCAGAUUUCAGAUUUAUUUGCUGAACUUCUGAAAUCUGAUAUUCAGUAUUUAAACUCCGGUGAGCUUUACAAGAUUAGUCUCGCAUCCAAAUGGUGUCCCACAAUUGAUUCUUCUUAUGAUAAAUCCACCUUGAUAUGUGAAAAUAUUGCUCGAAAGGUUUAUUCUCGCGAGGAAUAUAUAUCCAGAAUACCAAGGAAUUGAGGAGGCUCACUAUGUUAAUAGAGUCAGGGAUAGGUUGAGAAAACAAGUACUUGUUCCAUUACGUAAGGCCCUGGAGUUGCCAGAGGUUUUCAUGUGUUCGAACCAGUGGGGAUCACUUCCCUACAACCGUGUGGCUUCAGUGGCCAUGAAAUCAUACAAGAGCCUCUUCUCAAAACAUGAUACAGAGCGGUUUGGUGUGUAUCUUGAGAAAGUGCAAACUGGGAAGGCUAAGAUUGCAGCUGGUGCAUUACUUCCCCAUGAGAUUAUAGCUUCAUUGAAUGAGGAGGAUGGCGAGAAAGUUGCAGAGCUUCAGUGGGCGAGAAUGGUGGAAGAUUUAUCAAAGAAUGGGAGGCUCACAAAUUGCAGUGCGGUAUGUGACGUAUCAGGAAGUAUGAGUGGAACUCCAAUGAAGGUGUGUGUGGCUCUGGGGCUGUUAGUUUCAGAGCUCAGUGAAGAUCCAUGGAAAGGUAAUGUAAUUACUUUCAGUGCAAGUCCUGAGCUUCACAAGAUCCAAGGAGACAGCCUUGUAUCCAAGACUGAAUUUGUGAGGAUGAUGGAAUGGGGUGCGAACACUGAUUUUCAGAAAGUUUUUGACAGAAUCUUACAAGUAGCAGUGGAGGGAAAUCUGAGUGAAGAUCAAAUGAUAAAGAGGGUUUUCGUUUUCACUGAUAUGGAGUUUGAUGAAGCUUGUGGGAGGUAUAACUAUUGUGAAUAUGACUAUGAUAUGGAGGAAAUUGAUGAGAGUCAGAAGGCAUCUCAGAAGUGGGAGACAGAUUAUGAAGUGAUACAGCGGAAAUUCCAGGACAAAGGAUAUGGAAAAGUUCCGGAGAUAGUGUUUUGGAACCUUAGAAACUCAUCAGAGACUCCAGUGAUGGCCACAGAGAACGGGGUGGCCUUAGUAAGCGGGUUUUCGAAGAAUCUGUUAGACCUUGUUUUUGGAAGGAGGUGGAAUUCUGACCCCUCAGGAUGUGAUGGAAUUAGCCAUCUCUGGUGAAGAUUACAAGAAACUUGUUCUAUUUGAUUAAGAUAUCAAGAGAUUUAUCAAUAAUAAUAUGUUUUUUUUUUUCUAUGUGAAAUACAUGUAAUAUUAACUAUGGAGUUAUCAAAGUUCUGGAAAUUUAAUUAUUUCUUCUUUUCAAGUUUUGUUUGUCUUUGUUAGGAAUUCCCCUUGGGCGGACCCAGCUGGGGACUUGGAUUGAGGAAGUAAGGAGGCGAAAUUGUGUUCUUCUAUGGACAGAGAAAAAAGAUAAAAAUAAAAAAUAAAAAAGGAGGUUAUUUGCAUUUGGAUGUCAUGUGGUUUCAGGGUACAACUACAAGUUCGAAAUUGUACAUAAUGUGAAAAUUCCUGUGUGGAGAACAGCAUAAAUAUGUAUCUCAGUGUGUUUUGUUUGAGCUAAUUGGCAAAUUCGCUUUAAACAUGGUCACAUGGAUGCAUAUUUAUUUGUGAAAUGAUAGUAGUCGAUUACUUGGUCAGUAAGGUUUGUAUCUCUAACUCCAACAUCUUAUUGUAGUCUUUUAAAAUGUCAAAAGUUUAAUGCUAGCUUGAGAAAUUUUGGAAUGGAGACAUUCUAAACAAAGUUAAUAAUCCAUGAGACUUGGUAAAACCGAUCAGAUGAUGCUUACGUACAUGAAUGCCUUCUUUAAGCCGUAUCCUAUUUUCAUUGAAUGAGACGUGCCAUCUAGUUUUGUUCUUGUCUUGAUUGGAUCAUGAUCCCGGGAAUUGAUUACUGUUCUGAAUUUGCGAAUGUUCAAGGUAUUAGAGAAAGUUAAUAUUAUCGUUAAUUUACAUAUUAGUAUUUAUCUAGUUAUUAUAUAUUAGUUUGAAUUAUAAUAUAAUAUAGAAUUUGAAUCAAGUUUACUAUUAGUUUGAAUUACAAUAGGAAAUAAAGUUUGAAUUAUAGUAUAACUCAAAUAUAUUUGUAUAUAAAUAUCCAUCUUUAUCAAUGAGAAUAGUAAACCAUAUUUUUCUCUAUCUUCUUCUUUCUCUAUAUAUAUGGUAUCAAAGCCUCCAAAUCCUAAACCUAGUCUCAACUUAGAGCAAAUUUAGGGUGCAGGGUUUAGGCCCCGCCUCCCCCAACCCUUACCACAAAUGGUAGUGACCUUGUUAUGCCUAUGUAUUGUCAAUGCCUCAUUUUCUAUGGUCUUCAAUACAAUAUCUAGUUUCAAUGUCUCUUUCCUUACUAUCUCCAAUGCAAUAUAUUGAUUUCAAUAUCUCUUUACAACCAAGAGCUCCAAAUUUUCCUGGUUCAAAUCUACCAUAAUUUUUAUUCUCCUUUGCUUUUUACCAAUAUUAGUUCCCCUAAUUUAAUAUAUAUCUCUUUAUUACCUUCAACUCUACCUCUCUCUUUCUUUAAAAGCUUCCUCAAAGAUUUGAUUGCUUUCUUGCAUGUUUUGGGAAAACAAACAUGCUCAUAUUCUAUUACCUCUACUUGAGAUCUGCCUUAUACUCUACCUUCUUCUUUACCUCCUAUAUCAUCUACUACAUUAGCUUCAAAAACAUUAUUUAGUUUGAUGCUAAAUAAGGCUCCUAAUCCUACCCUUCCUUCAACUAACUUUCUUUUACAAGUCCCUCAAAGUUUUUUUUUUUUUUUUUUUGGAAAUUUGGCUUAGAAAGAUUUCAUUACUCUUACCUAAUCUUUCAACCAUCAAGUCGAAUCCACUUAUCUCUUGAAUCCAAGGAGACUACCCUCCACAAAAACAAGGAGAUUGACCCCCACAAUAACAAAGAGAUUGUCCUCCAUAGAAACAAAGAGAGCUUCCUUCAUGGAAGCCGAAUACAUCGCAAUCUAUUUUCUUUCUCUCAAGAUCAAAUCUCCAAUCGGAGCUCCAUCUUGUGGGGAUAUAUUAGAAAAAGUUAAUAUUAUCCUUAAUUUACAUAUUAGUAUUUAUCUAUAUUAUAUAUUGAAUUAGAAUAGAAUAUAGAAUUUGAAUUAAGUUUACUAUUAGUUUAAAUUACAAUAGGAAAUAGAGUUUGAAUUAUAGUAGAACUCAAAUAUAUUUAUAUAUAAAUAUCCAUCAUUAUCAAUGAGAAUAGUAUUCCAUAUUUUUCUCUUUCCCUGAGGCUUCAGAAUGUGAUCUUGAACAUUUGAUCUUUUGGAUUCUUCUUGUUUCGGUGGUUUAAUAUAAUGGAAUGUUUAAUUAUAGCCUACUUUAUCACCAUGGAUGUGCUCCUGCAGAUUUCUUGAGGGUGAUGGUUAUUUUGUCAUGUUUCUUGAAUGGUUUGCAUCAGCUGCCUGAGCUGUUGUUGCUGGUCACUUUUGCAACCAGGGAAAGAAUCAUGGCUUUGGAGAAGCCAGCUUCUGUUUUUGUUGCCCAGCUGUUAGUUCACUAAGAUUGGGGGUCCUAACAUGUAUGUAUAAUCAUAAGCAAGGAAAUUUUAUGUCUUACGCUAGAUAGGUACCAUGAUAUGAUGUUUGAUUGAUUUAUUAACUCUACCUGUUUCAAAAGGCAUCAACAUUAAUUUUACCCUUUUAACACAUUGGAUUGUUUGACCUUACGAGAUUUUCUAUUUCUGUACUAUUUGAACUGCAAUCGUUAUGGUCCUUAGGUCUCUAAACCUUCGUUUAAAAUAAAAGUAAGGAGCACACAUAGUAAAAGUUAAUUUUGGGUAACUUUUAAAACAAAGAGAAAAGUAAAAGUUGUUUUUGAGAAAAACAUAUAGAAAUUGAAAGAUUUUUUAUUUUGAGAAAAAAAAGUCAUAGAAAAGAAAUAAUAUCCCCAUAUAAGUAGAUAUGAUCUAUCCGAAGUGUAGCUACUCUCCUGGAUUUAUUCUAACAUUUUAAAAUUUUUCUCAAUGGGCAAAGGAAUAUCAAAUCAAGCUUGAGUAGGAUUAAUUUCUUAAUUUUUAAAAUAACUUAUAAUUAAAAUUUUUUGGUGUUUUCUUUUUUGGACAAUUUUUUAUGAAGACUCUGAAUCAUGCAAGAGAUAUGGUUAUUUUAAAAAAAAAAAUAAUUUAAAACUCAAAUACAUAAUCAAUGUCACAAAUUUAUAAACAAAAGGUUUUUAAAAAAUACUAUUAUUUCCCCUCUACACAUAAUUUUACUUUUCCGAUUUAUUUAUUUUUGUUGGAAAACAGUCUUCAAAUCAAGUAAAAUUAAUAUGUUAAAUUUGUUAAACAAAUAAAUUUUAAAAUACAAUUUGGAACUCAAAAAUCAAUUCAAGUAAUGCUAAAAUUCAAAAAAUCAAAUUUGGAAUAAAAUGACUUUGUAAAUUUUUUUACUAAACAAAUGAAUUUUAAAUCAAGUGAGAUUUAAUACAUUGGAUUUUUAUGAGAAUAGUAAUUUUAAAAAUUAAUUUGGAACUCAAAAAUAGACACAAUAAAUACCAAAAAUCAAUGAACCAAAAUUGGUUUGGAAUAACUCCAUAAUUUUUUAUUUAUUUAUAUAUUUAUUUUUUUGUGCACACGAAUUUCUUACUAAGCAUAUUGCUUCCAAAUUGAGAAAAAUUUACUAUUUAGAUUUUUUUAAUGAGUUUAAUGGUAUUUAAAAAUAAUUCAAAAAUUCGAAAAUUGACUAAUUUAAUAUUAUAAAUUCAUAAACCAAGACUAAUUCAAAAUGCAUUGGGGGCUAAGGGGGUUGAAAUUAAUGCUCCAUUUGGUUGUGGCCACCAAUUGGCAAUGGCCACCAAUCAACCAAUCAAGGUGGCUAAGGGGGUUGAAAAUAGGGACAAUGGGGUGGGUUUGGGACAGGACACUCAUAUCCCAUUCCCAUCCCAAUUACACAGUUAUUUCCCAUCCUUAUUCCAAACUUGUGUUGGGGCAAGUUGAUUUGUUCCCAUCUUUGUUAACGAAAUGACUAAUAACCUCAUCCUCUCCUUGUCUUAGAUGUACAUUUUCUCAAAUUUGGUCAGGUAUGAUUGAUUCAAGCCCUAACCUUAAUUGGUAAUGAGUGGAUACCACACCUAAUUGCAUUCUUCUUUCGUUGCAAAAUAAUGAGAUUAUAAUAAUCUAGCAAAUAAGAAAAAAUAGUAUGGAAGUUCAAAUUAACACCAUAACUAUCAAUAAUUUUAAGCUUAUAGAUGACUUAAAUGAUUGAAAACUAAUGCAAAAUACUAAAAAAAAAAAAAAUCAUCUAAAGAAUUCACAAGAGAAUAGAACGAACAAAACCAAAUAGGAACAUGGGUCAACAUUAGUUACAGAUUUUGAUCCCUUUCAAGGCCAAUCUUUGAACCAAGACUUCAUCAAAUCUACUACUUCAAAGGCUUUUGUGUUCUUCUUGAGUUGUACUCUGGAACAAAGACUUCGAGGUGAUGCUUUAGAUGAUUGCAUUACACAUAUUUAGGGUAGGGAGAUUGGAGAAGCUUGAAGAUGCCAACGAUGGGUACAAUUGAGUGGUCAAUAAGAACAAUGUGGCCUAUGACUAGUUUGAUGUCAUGGUAUAGGAGUUUUGGGCAUUGAGGUGAAAGCAAGAGCAACAUGGAAUUGAUUUCAAAGUCUUUCAAUUAGUGUAAAGGAGGAAGAAGAAGUGGUAUUGAUCCUAGAAAUAGUGUUUUAGGUGUUGCAUUAGAGGAAAAGAAAAAGAAAAAGAAGGAACCAUUGGAAUUAGUACGAGUGUGAAGAGAGAAGUGUAUACAUAAGGGGAAGUAAAAGCAAAGUUCUAAAAAUUUAUUUUUUUAUUGGUGGUGUAUGGUUGCAUGAUUAUCCCUAUAAAUAAUAGGAGUUUUUUGGUGUUCUACUAGUAGUUGAAGGAUAAUUUCAUAAGAUAAUAUUUAGAGCGGGGUGGGGUGAGUUGUGACAAAAUCCAUACCCGUCCCAAACAUUGGUUCAGGUUUUUAAAAUAUUUUCAAACUUAUCAUAUACCCAAUUUUAUAUUUCAUACUUGUCCUAAUAGAGACAGGUUAGUCAGGGUUACUUGAGUAGCCUACAAAACUAUCAUCCCUAGUUGAAAUGCUCUUUUUGGCAGUGGCAGCUAGAAGCUCGAUCGAUUGACCUACAAGACUAGUUGUCAUCAUUUUAAAAAGAGUUUUGGCUUUGGUUGUGAGUGCAAUUGAAUCUAAACUAACAUUUCCUUAAUGCAUCUACUUCAAUCCUAAACUUCUUACUUAAGCCUCAAUUGUUGUUAAGAUUUUGGAAAACCCAUUUCCUUAAAUUGUAAAUUUAAGAAAAAAAAAAUUAAAAGUGAGACAUUUCUUGAUUGAAUGUUGUUAAAGGUCCCUUGGAAUUAAGACUUGGUUGAAGCCUUGGAAGAUUAGCAGAACUCUCAACUUAUGUUUGAACCUUGAGGAGAGUGGACGUAGGCCAAAAUUUUGUCAAACCAUUAUACAAAUUGAGUUUGAAUUCUCAUUUCUUGAUUUCUUAUUUAUUUGCUUUUUCUUAUUAUUACUUGAAUUGUCAUUUGCAUUCAUUAAUGUUAAAAUUGGUUAUAAUUAGCCAACACUAAUUCUCUUUCCCCUUCCCUUAAUUUCUUGGGUGUAAACCUAGGUUGGAUUAACUAGAUUUUAUCAAAUCUAUUAAGAUGGUAAAAGAAUAAUUAUUCUUAACAUACAUAAGAUCAUCUUCAAUCAAAUGACUCAUUGGCUGAUAUGUUGAAUUUGCUUAUUACUUGCAACUCAAAAUUGUGUUCUAGUUGAUAUGUCAAGUCCUGAGUGUAUGGACAUUAAAUUUGUAGUACGUGAUGAGUAUUUAGAUGGUCCAAUUCCAAGAAAGUGAUUGAAAACUAGUUCAAGAAAGGUGCAAAAGGGAAUUGUUUUGGUAUUUUCGUUUUUAUUCUUGAAGGUGGCAGAGCUAAAAUUUGAGAAAUCAAGCAAAACAUACUGAAAUUACAUUGAAAGAAAGAAAAUGGGAGUUAAUGUCUUGCAGUACAUGAUAAGGACUUCAUGCAUGUAGUGUGACCCAUGUCUUGGACUGAUGCCACACUCACGGUUACACUUAUACCCUUAGUUCUCUCUUUACUACCUUAGCUAACCUAGAUCAGGUUAUGAGAUAGGCACCUCACCACACCAUUACUUGCCCAUUAAUUAGUGACAUUUUCAAGCAAUGAGGUAACAUGGUGACACCAAGAGGGUAUAUUCCUCACCCCCAACAAGCCUAGACCUGGUCUAAAAAAAAUGGAGAAAAAUGACGUGUUGUUAUGCAGAAAUAUAGCAACCAUGCCUUCCUCAUUACUUAGAUUCAGAAUGUGAAGGUGAAAUUGAGAAACAGAAACUCUUGAAACCAAAAUGAAAAUUGAUACUUUUACGAAGAAUUACAACAACAUUAGAGGAAGACUACAUUCUUCCUCUUUAUUCCUACAUUUCUACACUACUUCUACUCCACUCCAUAUUUCUACAUACAUCUUUAAUCAGUCUUCCCUCCUUUAUAUAGAGCCAUCUUCACACAAAUUCCGCAAGGUAGAAAAGAGGAAUGAAACUUGGAGCAAGGUUCGACUACUGGCUGUAGCUUGUCAAGGCUGAAAGUGAACUUUUUUUCUUGGCUUUUCUGGGCAUAGGUAGUAACUUGUAGGUUCCUUUUUGGAAUGAAAAUGGUACGGCUAGAACAUGUGGCACUCUCUUGUUGGAUGAUGUGUCAAGCAUGUGGCAGCCAUCUAGUGGAGAUUAUGUCAAUUUUGGGAUGGAGAGUUGGCAUCCAAUUGCAAAGAAAUAUGACAUCUACCAACAUGCAAUGUCAACCUAUGUAGAUCAUAUGAAGAUAGAGAGGAAAAAUAUAGAAAUGGAUAUAUAACUAGAACUAGCUUUUUAUUAAAUGAGACGGAGAGCCAACAAUGAAGGAAAAUCAAAAUUUUUGGCUCAUAUCAAAGAAUUCACAUUGUGUUACCCUAGGUUUUCUUAAAACUUACUUUUAUGAUAAUAAAAAAUCAUUAUUGUUUAAUCCUUUGUUUUAAACGCAUGUUUAGCAGGUUGUAAAAUGUAAAUAUCUUUCGAAAUUCAAAUAUGAAGAUAUGACAUCAUUUCAAGCAAUAUAGUCUCUAGGAAUUAAUGUAAAGCUAAAUUAAGGUGCAAUUAAGUUAGUUCAAUGCAUUAUUUUAAGAAACUUGACCUAUCAAAACCUUGUCUUACUUCAAAGCCUCUUUUUCUUUUCUUCCAACUAACAUUUUAAUAAGUGAUCGCAAAAGUACAAAAUUAGAUGAAAUCCAUUUCAAUGGUUAAAAUGAUCAAAUUCAAACUUUUUCUAAGUAUCUUUUAAAAGCAUCAAUAUUGAAAGACAAUUUUAUAUUUAGUCAAAGCUUGGACAGAGCCAAAAAGCACACAAAAAUUUAUAUUUUCUAGCUCUCUACCUUGGAUGGUCUCUUGAUCCUACUUGGAGAUGUGCAUAAAUAAAAGGAUUUGAAAAUGACAAUUGACUAAGUAUGUAGUCAAUCAAUUACUCAUUGAUUGACUAGUUGAUCAAUUAACUUUGCAACAUCAUAUGCAAUCCUAAUAGCUAGUCAUCUAAUCAACUAGGUAGUAAAUCAAUAGGCCAAAAAUAUGUUUAUAAUGACUAUUUUGUACAAAAACCACUUAUAUAGUUAAAUAUAAUGCAUUUCAUUUAUAAAUCUUCUAAUUCUUGAAUAACAAUCCUAUCAUCCUUUGAAAGUUUUUAUUACACCUUUUCUACAUUUGUUCUAAAACUUAUACAUCACCCUUAAUUGUACCAUGAGAACCUAGCAUUUUUUUUUUUUUUUUUGUAUUUCAUCAAAGUUAGCUCUUGUACUCAUUGUUGUAUUAUUUUUAUUGUAACUUAGAGAGCGAGUGUUUUCAAGUGAGUGAAAUUGACUUGUAAAUAUUGUAAAGAUUCAUUGAUAUGUAUCUCAAACUAGGUGUACAAGUUGAAACAUUUGCUAGUAGAUUUUCUCAAGAUUUAGAAUGAGCUUAAGGCUAUCGAAUUAGGUGGGGUUGCGCCAAACCAUAUCACAUCGUUGUUUGCACCUUUUUUUUCACUCUCUUUUACUUAGUUGCUCUAUAUAUAUUGUCUAGCAAUAUCCUAAAGGCUUGAUGGGCUAGGGAGCAUCCCUCUGAAUGAAAAAUUUUCAUUCAAUUCUUAGUUGUAUUACGCAUAUAUAAAAUGCCUCAUUGUUUUAAUGGUAUUCAGUCGUGGCACCACAGAUAUGGACAUCUAAAUUUUAAAAGUUUGAAACUUUUAGCUAAAGAAAAUAUGGUGCUUUGCCUUUUUGGAAAGCAUGUUGAUGAAAUCCAUGAGAAUUGUAUACUUGGAGAGCAACAUCGAGAUAACUUUUUUUUUUUCUUUUUUUAUAAUGCAUUGUUUGUCCAAAUUCCGUACAAAUUAGGCCACCACAUGUUCAUAAUUCUCCCUUCUUGAAUUUGAAAACUCGGACAAUUUGACAAUGCGACACCUAAGUCCGGUUUUUAAAUGCUAAAGUGAAAGGGCAGGUAUGGACCAUUGAAAUGUGAUAACAACUUUUGGCCUUUUCCUUUUCUCUGUAGCCAUGUUGUCUCUUUUUAAUUUCUUUUGCAUGAUUUUCUUACCUAAACAGAAUCAUAGACUUGUUUAAUCUCUAAGUGGGAUUUCAUCCACCUUAAGCUACUGUAUUAUAUCUCGGUGGAGGACAACCGACAUAGAGCACAUGCAAGUGGGUAUAUGGGACAUGAAAUAUCUUCUUAUAAAGCUUGUUUUGCAGUUAAAUUAAUUGGAUAAGUAGACACUGGCGUUUCUAAAUUUCCCACCUAAGAUAAUGACCUUAUCCUUGACUGCUAGAUACACAAACAAUUAUACCUUCAAAAUCUACUGUGAAGUGCUUCAUGUAUGUGUGAAGUAUUAGAAAUUUCUUUCUUGGCAACUUGUUUUUUUCUUUGCGGUCUACUGAUAGGUUUGACUAAAAUUAUAUUCCCUGUCCUGCUAAUUAAUUUUCACGUGCAUGCUCAAAAGAAGAGUAUGACCUUAGUGCACCAAAAUCACUUUCAAUAAUUUGUGAUAAGUUUUUUUGCAUGACAUUAACCUUAUUCAUUUAGAUAAUGUUUAGUUCUCAUAAAUAUUAAGAAAAUGAAAAUAAAUAUUAAGAAAAAUAUUCUUAUAUUUGAUUGUAUUAUGAAAAAUAUCAUAAAAAAUCAAAUAUAAUUAAAAUUAAUUAAUAAUUUAUAUAUUUUAAAAUUAUUUAAUUUUUAUAUUAAAGAUAUAAUAUAAAUGAAAUGAGUUUUAAGUAUUAUAUAAAAAUGAUUUAUUUAUUUAUUUAUAUAUAUAUAUAUAUAUAUAUUUAGUUUUUCUCUUUAUUUUAUUUUCCUUAUGUUUUCCUCACAUUUUCCGGAAUCAAAGAUAGGGAAAUCCACAAUUACCUUCAACUGAGUAGAUUCUAUUGUUUUAGCAAUGUUAGGCUGCUAACUUGUGGUGGUACGAACCAAAUGAUCCAUGUUAAUCUUGGCUUGAUUUAAUUUGGCUCUAUCUCAGAGAACUCAAGGAUCACGUCAACUCUGGUUUCUACUAUUCAGGUCCAUUCCCAGAUGAACUGGUUCAAAUUUGAGAAAAUGGUAACAGACCUUUAGUGAUAUUGGUUUGGAGCCAGUUGCCAAACCUGCCCUGAGCUUUACCACUAAUGUCAAGGGACAAAGCCAUUUGAACAAAAACAAUAGCUUCAAGAGACUGAAUCGUGGAUGAAAUCUGAUCCACAUUUCUUCUCAUUUUGGGAAAAAAUGAGGACUUAACCACAAAGAUUCUACUGCCUCAUAGUGCUUUUCCUGAUCUAAGGUUGGCUCGUUUCCCAAAUUGUGAGGUGCACGUGCCACUCUCACGCUCAGGAGUGUAUCCACGUGGUGGACAUAAGAUGGUGGCUUAAUAUCUGGUGUCGGUGGCUUUACUUUACUAGGAGAGUAGUGUGUCUUCAUCUCAUUCACUGCCAGAGGGUGGCGUAAGCAGUGACGCUAAGGUGGGGCACAGUCAAUAUCAUUUGCAUUUGACCAUUAUAAUUUUCUCCCGGCUUUAAAGUAACCUUAUCGUGAUAAUGGAUUACUAGCACUAGUUCAGAUGACAGUCAUGUUAAAUUCGGACCAUGUUUGUGUCACAUUAUCAGCAACCAUGUGCUUGUGGUUCAUGCUAUCUGCAACUAAACUUGAUAUAUAACCAGGUGAACUUCAAUCUAAAUUCUGGAAGUACUCAUGUGAUAGAUGGUGCCUGUCUGCAGUGAGUGUAUCUAUAAGAGGGAAGGCUUGGCAAAUGUUCAGUUUUCUGGGAAUUCAACAGGGAUCUAAAAUAGAUUGUUUUCUUUGCUGAUUUCAAUGGUUGAAAUUUGAGAAGAUUGUGUCCACAUAACACAACUAUUACUGGUCCUUCUGUUGCAAUUUAUCCUCUAAGGCUCUAACAUGUCUUCCAAUUCCCACUUCCCACUUCCCUGUUACUCCAGGAAAGCUGUUUCUGUCAUUGUGAAGAAGAAAAGAGACUGUACAUAUCGAUGCUUUUAAGUGGACUGGAGAAUUCAUAUCAGGUGGUCUGCAGCCAUACAUGCCACUUUGUGAAGGUUGGAACAGUCAAUCACUAGGCUAUAUUAGUGGGGCCCAGCCACUUCAAUCAAGGACAAGUCUUCAUACUUAAAGUCAAAUUCUGCCUUUAGUCUCAUUAUAAAUUGCUGUUUAAAUAUCAAGCAAACAUUUGUUUAAUGCGAUUAAGACAGCACUAACUCAAUACUUGUUCUAUUUUUGGAUGCAAAUGCUUGAUAGUUUCAUCAUUGGAGGGGAUAAAGGUGCAUUCAUGAUUAUGAAUACUUGUAGUUAUAUUUUCAUUCUCUUUUUUCUCAAUGGGACUUGUUGGCACAAUUUUGCUGUUCAGAAACCUACCUCUCCAUGGAAAAUCAGUUGUGAUUGAUAUUACUGGAUAUAUUCAAGAAAGCUAAAUGUAGAUAGCACAAAAUAUUAUCGACAUAAAUAGCAUUAACAGCGUACGUAUGUCUCAAUGCUCAUCAGCUAUAAGCAAGGGGCAAACACUUACUAUGAGCAACUUACGUCAAAAUUCCGGAAUAGGACAUAGAAGUGACAGGUCAGUAAAUAUAGAACACUGCAUAUGAGUCACAAGAAAGGAAAUUACGGGUACAUAGCAGCUCUUAUUUUACAUCCUACUCAUACUGAUCAAAGUCACUCAGUUGGGAUGGGUGGGAGUGGGAGGUUUGUGGGGUGGCUUGUGCGGAGGAGUUGGCAGCUUCUUUCCAGGACCUGGUUGCUUCUCUGCUGGAGUUGAAGGAGGCUUAAUCUUCCGAGGUGGCUUGUAUGAGUCUUCAGCAUUCUCAGCAGGAGGGUGACCAGGGUUGUGACCACAAUGUGGUGGCUUCUCUCCCUUAGGUGGUUUGCCAACUGGGGUUGGUGGCUUGUGUUCCGGAAGUGGCUUCUCUUUGUGUUCAGGAGGUGGCUUCUCCACUGGAGGCUUGUGUUCAGGAGGUGGCUUCUCCACCGGAGGCUUGUGUUCAGGAGGUGGCUUCUCCACCGGAGGCUUGUGUUCAGGAGGUGGCUUCUCCACCGGAGGCUUAUGCUCUGGUGGUGGCUUCUCCACCGGAGGCUUAUGCUCUGGUGGUGGCUUCUCCACCGGAGGCUUAUGCAAUGGUGGUGGCUUCUCCACCGGAGGCUUGUGUUCAGGAGGUGGCUUCUCUACCGGAGGCUUAUGCUCUGGUGGUGGCUUCUCCACCGGAGGCUUAUGCUCUGGUGGUGGCUUCUCCACCGGAGGCUUGUGUUCAGGAGGUGGCUUCUCCACCGGAGGCUUGUGUUCAGGAGGUGGCUUCUCCACCGGAGGCUUGUGCUCUGGUGGUGGCUUCUCCACCGGAGGCUUAUGCUCUGGUGGUGGCUUCUCCACCGGAGGCUUGUGUUCAGGAGGUGGCUUCUCCACCGGAGGCUUAUGCUCUGGUGGUGGCUUCUCCACCGGAGGCUUGUGUUCAGGAGGUGGCUUCUCCACCGGAGGCUUAUGCUCUGGUGGUGGCUUCUCCACAGGAGGCUUGUGUUCAGGAGGUGGCUUCUCCACCGGAGGCUUAUGCUCUGGUGGUGGCUUCUCGAAUGGGGGAUGCGUAGGGUAAUCAGCUAGUGAGGGGGCGGUGAGAACCACCAGGCCAAGCAACACUACUAGCAAGUAUGUAGGAGACAUCUUUGGGUUUGGGCUCAGAUGGUGCAAAACUAGGAGAAUUGGCUAGCCUUUUAUAGCGGAUCGUACCCAAUAAUGAAAUGACACGUGUCAUUAUGACCCAUGUGUCAUGUGGUCGAUUUGGGUCCUACAGUGUUGAAAACUUCGACAUCCACUUUUUUGGCCUUUUGCUUUCUCUACAGUCGCCUUGCUUUUUCCCUCUUUUCUUUUGUUUUCCUCCUGCCCCAUUCUAUCAACUAAUCACAAUUAUGUAGUUGUUUAAUUCUUAAAUGAGAUAUUAUCCGUCAAUCAUAUUAUCUUUUAUCAAGAGAGAACGGAGUGAAAAGUGGCAAUCCAAAGAAAGAAGAUCCAUAAUGCAGCUGUAAUUUUAUCGUUUACUUUUAUCUCUAGGACCACUGCAUUUUUGUUGAGAGGUGCAAUAAUACACGUCUUUAUCUGCCAUUCAAUGUUUACAGUAAAGAGAGGGCACAAAACUCUUCACUGCUCUGCAUGUGCCCCAAAAAUGCAAUUGGACAAAUUAUGAUUUGCAUGCUAAAAAGAGGCAAAUGAGGUUAAUUAGCACCAAAAUUAUUUUGUUUUCUGGACACCCCGGGGCCCUUUGGUUGGUUUGGGGGUCAGAAAAUGAACAUCAUAGGGGGUUUUUCCCUAAUGUGCAUUUGCAUUUGUAUCUGAUGGCUUUAACUCGCCUUGUUACUACAAAGAAAUUGUCACAGAUAGGAACUUAUUCCAGGCUGAGUAUCUCCGCAUGGACCCUAUAAAAGAAGACAAGUCAUAAUGAACAUCUAACCUUUGUUCAAUUUGAUUCAAUGCCCCUAUUGUGUCCAUCUCACAAAUCUGAAUUAUUAUAUCCAUUGAAUACAUAAAUUAAUGAAGAAAAUAUGAAACCCAAGAUACAUCUCUGCACAACCUCAACCCUGGUUGCUAUGUUUCACUUCUAUUCACAUGAGGAUAUUGAUUACGGAAUAAGGAAACCUAGCAAGGGUUUACUCGGCUCUGGUUUGAUGCUAAUUGCCAAACUUGCAACAAGCCCUGAGUUUGACACCUAAUCGAUGGGCGAAUUAAAAGUCUCCUCCAAACAUAUAUUCCACAGCUUGAAGCUCACAGAAGAUGCUAUACAGGCAGGGAAAAACCUUCAGAGUUAGCUACCAAAGAUAAUUAUCAAGGAGAUAUCACCAAGAGAAUUCCAUGGAGUCUGAAUCAAAGACAAAUUGCUCGCUCGUGGGGGUUCUUACUUAAUUUCUUUUGGGUAUAACUCACUGAGGGCACUGGCUUUGUUAUUUGCAUUUCGCAUUUAGAGUUCUGUUCUGGAAGGUUUGUUCUGGAAACAUAUAAAAGGAGCAUCAUUUUGUUCUAGGGUAACCCAUAGUUGUGAGUGGGUCCAUUUGCAUGCUACUUAGUUGAAAAGUUGGACAAUUUGCUCCGACGCCUACCUCCUGGAUUCCAUGCUCGGAUAAAGCAAGAAUAAUAAAAUAUUUAUAAUUUACAAAUGGGGGAAAGAAAAAAAUGUCAACAACAAACUAGGAAAAAAGAGUAGUAAAAUUUAUGCCACAUGCUAUUGAUAGAAGGGGCAUGUAUUAGAUCCAUCACCAUUUGGUAAGAUUUUAGUAUUAUAUUUUUCAAGGUUCAUUAUUUGAGGGUGUGUUCUUCAUCUCUGUUGCAUUGCUUCUUACUAGGCCCACUGAGGUGGGUUCUUCACCUUUUGUAUAUUCUCUGCACUAGAUCAAUGAGAAAGGGGGAAUUUUGGUGAAUUUGCAGCCGUUGGAUGAUUGAUUCUAGGCUCAGUCCACCAAUGAUGCUCUCUUCACUCUUUCUCAUCUAGUGUCAUUCACAACUAUGUUUUGAUUCAUAUUUGUACUAUCAAAGAUAUCUCAUUAUUCUAGCUCAUUAGGUAGAGUUCCUAAUCUUCCUCCUUUUUGGUCUAUGGACAGUAUUGGCUUCAUAUUAAGAUCAUGUUUCAAUAAUUGCACAUUAAUGAAUGGAUCAUGACCCACAUAAACAGAGUCAGGGUUGAGUCAGUGAACCCUAAAAUUUCACAAUUCUAAAUUUGGGUUCUUUAACAAUGCAGGGUCAAGGACGCGUGGUGAUGAAGGAAAGCUGGUAAGCUCAGUGUUACUUCAAUUCCUGCCAUGUAGGAUGGUGAGGAGAUAUUCACUAUGCAAUUAAUAAUAGACAAUAUUCACUAUGCAAUAAUAAAGCAUAAAUUAAGUUGAAUGAAAAGCAUUUUCUUUGCAAGGAGUUGAUUUUGGUUUCAUAGUUUGUUCAACUGCUAUUUUGGAUAGGAAAGUGUGAGGAGAAGAAAAUAAAAAAUAAAAAUAAAACAAAAAAUAAAAAAUAGAUUUUAUAAAUUCAUUUAAUUUAUUUUUUUUUUAUAAAAAUUAACUAAUUUAAAAUAUAUGUAAAUUUCUAAUUAAUUUAAUUACAUUUUUUUUUUCAGUUUUUCAUAAUAAACCAAAUAUUAGAAAAUUAUUUUUAUUAAGACACCCAAGAUGAGGUAAUAUGCAAUGAAAACAUGAAUUAUAUUAAAAUUCAAAACAAAUUAAGAGAAAUCGGAAAAUAUACAUAGAUAUCUAAACAAAGAAAUUUAAAGAGAAGGAACCACAAACUUUAUUUACAUAAUUUGAAAAUAAAAAACAUAAAACAUACUUAUAGUAAGGAGAAAUUGAAUAUCUUACAAUGGAAGAAGGGAGAAAAGCUUUGAAGAAAGCUUUUGCUUGGAAGCUUACAUGGUGAGAGGUAGAGAAAGGAGAGAGAGAGAAGAAAAUGAAAAAUGAGAAGUGGAGAAAAUUGGAAGUUUUGUGUGCUUACAACUGAGGAUAGAGCCUCCUUAAAUAGCAAAAAAUGGAAUAUUAAAUAGUACCAAUCAGGAGACAAAAUAUUGUUUGCUUUUGAAACCCGUGCAUGAAUAGUAAUCCCGUGAGUGAAUAGUGAAUAAUAAAAGUGAAUAGUAAAAGUCACUUUCUACUAUAGCACUUUAGACUUUUUCAUCGAGAAUCUUACUUUCGGCUGAGUGAUGAUAGCUGAUAGGUUGCUUUGGAUUGUGGAGUCAUAUGUUUGAUGUUUUCGGUGCUGAAACCGCUUAGUUGGAGAAUAAUCUCGUCAGUAGAGCAUCAUGAGAAGCUUGAAUGGAGAGAGCUUAAUGAUGCCAUAUGAUUGGAAGGAAUCCUAUUUUAAUUUCCUUAUUGGAGGGAGAAUACCCUCACAAUCAUCUUCAUUAUCUUGAAGGUAGUUUGAUAUAGAGUCAUCUGACUCAGCAUAAGAGUCCUCUUGGGAGAAGCUUGAACUGCUUUUGUCAAGGAUUUUCUGAAAUUCUUGAGGGGUUUUUGCUAUUGCUAACAUGGUUUGGAGUUGCUGUUUCUUAAGAAGAAACUGUGCAAUAUCAUAAGAUGAUGAAGCUUGUGUAGGAUGCUUUAGGAAAUAUUGCUUUAUUGCUUGUAGUGAGGUAUCAUUUUUCAAGGCAUCCCACCACUUAGACUUGAAAGUCCUUCCAAGGGUUGGAAAGGCUGCUGAUUCAUCUGCUAUAAUGAUAUAAUCCCACUGGACUAUCCAGGCAAGGCCAAAUUCACUAAAAAAGAAUAAUAAUUGGGGAAAACUGAAAGUUCUCUAGGGAUAACAAAAGAACUUUGGAAUAGCUCAAAGCCAUCCAAAAUGGGUUUUGGGAGAAUUUUAAUAGUUGGACCAAAAUAUGUCCACCAAUUGUGGAACCAAAAUGGAAAAGAGGGGAGUUGAUGCUUAGAUGGGAAAUAGAACAUCCCUGAAUGAUGGAAGUCCUUGUUCUGGAUCAGAAAAGCAUUGAACCAUACUCUUUGGUAGUCUCAAUAAUUGAAAAUUUUAGGUUUUGAAGGCUUAGAAAAUUCUCUUGAAAAAUUAGGAUUCCCACCCCACUGCUUAACUGUAAGGAUUUUAUAAAUAUGGUAAGUGGAGAAUGCCAAAUCCAAAUUGCUGAAUUUAUCAGCAUUGUGCUUGAUUUUAACAGAGCCGGUUUCCAUAAGGAUUGCUUCAUAAAAUUCUCUUGUUUUUAAAAGAUCACCAAAGGGAUAAUGAAAAUUUUCAUGAAAAGCUUUUGCUGCAAUAUCUCUAGGGUUUUUAGAGAAAAACUCUUUUUCAAUAACCAAAAGAGGUUGAUUUAAAUCUUUUUGCCAAUAUCUUGCUUUUGCUGAAAGAGGUGUGGGGUUGGCUACCACCACAAUUUGCUUAUUUGAAAAAGAAGAGCUUGAUGCUAAUUCAUUUUGAGAGGGAUUAGCUUUAGUAACCUGCUUAAAGGUCUGAGACACAGUAAUAGUUGGAUACUGAGUAGCCUUGACUGGUUUAGAAGGAUUCGAAGGAUCAUAGUACAAGGACAAAAUCUUAUUAGGCAUAUGGUCAGAAGAAUGAAGCCUUGCUUCUUCUUCUAGCUCAACUUGUUGGCUCCAAAGUAUUUUAUGGGGAGAAGGUUCUUUGCUGGUUUUAGAAGACUAGGAUUCUGGAAGUUUAGGAGCUUGGGUAUUCUUUUUAGGGGCCAUGGUUUCGUGAAUCCUGUAAAAUUCACAAGUUAAGAAAUCAGGGCUCGAAGAAUGUUCUCCUUUAAUAUACUCAAUUUGUAAAUUAAAAUUGCUUAAAAUAGCUUGAUAUAUAGCAAAAAUAUGCUUAGAAGUUAUAUUCUUAACAUCCUUUUGUAAAACUAAUUUUGCAAAUUUACAAUCAACUCUUAAUAAAAACUUUUGAUUCAAAAGAUCAUCUUGAAAUUUUGAAAUGCAUAAAACAACGCUUAAAGUCUCUUUUUUAAUGAUGUUAUGAAUGAGUUGGGUAGUAUUCCAGGUUCUUGAAGUAUACCUAACUAACAUCUCAAGGUUACCAACACUUUGCUUAAGAAUCCCACCAUAACCUAUGUCUGAGGUAUCGAUCCCAACAAACUCAAAGGUUUCUGGAUUGAUAGAGCCUAAACAUGGUAGGGUCUUGACUUUGGACUUAACAUCAAUAAUGAAAACAAUGGUGAAAACAGAAAACUGGUUAAAGUUUUCAUCCAUUAUAUUCUGGAAUUCUGAGGUGCAUUCUUAAGAUCAAAGGGCAUUAUGAACCAUUCAUAAUGUCCAAGAGAUACCACAAAGGUGGUCUUAUUUGGAAUAGGACACCUAAUCCAACUUAAUGUAUCAUUAAGAGGCAUGUAGUUGACGACUAGUCUAGGUGUUCCUUUUUCUGAUUCAACUUGUUCCUGAACAUAGAAGGUUGAACAACUCCAAAGGGACUUAGACUUCCUUAUCAACUUUUUAUCAAGAAGAUCCCAAAUCUCCUUAUCACAAUAGCUUAACAAACCCUUGUUCAUCUGGAUAGGUCUUGAUUUAGUGGGAAUAUUCUUGUCACUAAAGUCUAGUUCAUAAGGUAAUUCUACCUCAUGUUGUUUCCUAUGCCAAAAUGCAUUAGGAAUGUUAGAGCAAACUUCUUCAACAAUCAGAUUAAUUUCUUGCUCAUGACUUUCCUUAGCUUGAAUCACCUGAUCCCUUAAGGUGUUUAUAUUUUUCUUAUUAGGUGGUUGGCAAAUUCAAAAAUAAUUUCCUUAUCUAAGAGCUUUGUUCUUAUACUUUGGUCAUCUACCCACAUGGGAUAGAUGGAGCUUAAAAAGGGGAUUCCAAGGAGAGCUUUCUCCUUAAGAUCCUUAACUAGAAUGAAGGUUUGCUUGAUGCAAAUGCCUUGGUUAUUUAUGUGAGCAUCUGACAGCUUAUACUCAAUGUCAAGCCUUUUACCAUUAGCUCCAAAGAGAGAUUCUUUGGUUUUCUUACAAAACUUAAUAGGACCUAGACCUUCUUGUAGGCAAUUCAAAGCUGUUCCUGAAUCAAUCAAAGCAACAAUAUCAAUGACAAAUUUACUCUUAAUUACUAUAGUAAGGGAGACUUUCCACCUCUGGAAAAUAACCCUACUAACAGUAUUUAAGUAUCCAUCCGUCUUUUCAUCAUUAGCAUGUGAAGAUUCUAGAACCUCUUCAAGGUUUUCCUAGUUAUCAACAAGAUUUUCUAUAACAAUCCUAUUUAUUUGUUCUUGGAGAUCUGAAAAACCUAAGCUUGUGUAUUGUCUUAAAUCUUUAAUUUCCUUCUUAUACUGUCUUACUUCUUCUUGAAGAUCCUUAAUGGUUACGUCUUUGGUAGACUACUGGUUAAAUCUUCCUAAGAUUUCAUUUAAGUUAUAAGAAUUUACUGUCUUCUUAAUCUCUUGCUUAUCGACAAAUUUCUUAAAAACUUCAUAAAGAUCUUGUUUAGUUUUUUCAUCUUCAACUUUCCUUAAAACAUCUAGGACAAGUUCUUGAUCUUGGCUUAUGACAUUUAUAGUCUUAGGUUGGCAAUCACAAUUAUCCUUAAUGUAUUCUUCUUGGUCACUAGAAGUUUGGCUUGAGAUUUCCUCACCACUACUAUCUAGUUGGUUAAUACCAUUUUCAUUAUCUGAAUCAAUCCUUGAUUCAGACUCUGUGGAAUUUAACAUUACUUUACAAAGCAUAUCUUUUAAGUCUUCUGUGACAUUUAAGUUAUUAAUUUUCUGCUUAACCCUACAAUCUUUCUUAUAGUGGCCUAUCUUACCACACUUAAAACAAACUGGCUUAGAUUGUGAAGGAGCUUCUAGCUUUUUAUGGGCUUCUUUGUUCAUCAUUCUUUGGAUGUGCCUUUGUUUCUUAGUUUCAUUCAUCCUAUAGUUGCCAUGAGUUCCUCUCUUGUUGUGAUAGGACUUUUCCUUACUAGGCUUUGUACUUACUUGUUUCUUACGUUGCUUAGAGGGGGGCUUAGUUUCUUUUUGGUUGAAUCCAAACUAGCUACAAAAUGAACCAAACUCAUUCUUGUAGAUCCUUUGUUCAUUUUUCAUCUGUUGCUUAAGCUUAAAGUCAUUGCACAGUUUAAUUGCUUCUGAUGUGACAAUGCUUAUAAUUUCUCCAUAAGAAAGCUUAUCAUAAGGGAUUUGUCCAUUAAACUGUUCCCUUAUCUUAAUCCUAAUCCUCUCAGAGAAAAGUCUAGGUAGUCCUAAGAUGAAUUUUUCUUUCCAAAAAGACUGGUUAUAGUUUGAUCUUAGUAUGACUUUGGUUAGGAAAACUUCUCUAUACCAUCUAAAGUCAUGAAGCUUGGGACACUUAAGGUUGGUUAAGAGAUCUACAAUCUUAUCCUUAAUCUUUGCAGGAUCUCCAAUGAAGUGCUUUGAAAUUGAAUAGAUUAGAGUAGCCACUACAUCCUCUAUAUCUUGUCCAUCUUCAUCCUUAACCACUUCAUUUUCCUCAUUAAUCCUAUAGGCUUUUAGGAUACCAUUUCUAUCCUCAAAGGUGAGAUAAUUAUCCCACCAACCCUAAAGUUGACCUGUAAACCCAACAACAAUUGUUUGAGCUACAGCAUGGCCUGACAAUCUAUUGUUUAACUUAUAGGUUGUACUAACCAUGGUCAUUUCUUGAAGCUUAGUGAGUAUGUUGUACUCAAUCAUACCAUCUAUGUUCCAUUCAUAGAUAGUGUCACUAGUGUAGGAAGCUUGAGUAUGCUGGUUUCUUUCCUCAUACUACAUAUCAGGAAAAGUUGGUCUAGGGUAGUAAUUCCUAGUUCUUGGUUGUUGAUAAUCCUCAUAACUGUUUGGUUAGGAGGUUCCUUAAAAAUCUUAAUUAGUUCAUCAGCCUCUGCUUCAGAACUAAUUUCUCCUUUAACCAUAUUGAUUCUCUUGUGAGAUGGUUGAGGUGUCUCAGAGACAACAAGGCUAUCCUUAACCUUUUGGCUUAUCCUAUCAAUGAGGGCUUGAUCAAUAUGGAGAUUCUCUAGGAAUUUCUUAGAGAAUUCAAAAGGCUUAAAUAAAGACUUAUUAUCUUUCUUAACAAACGUAGUCUUAAUGUAGUCUUGUGUUUCAAUGAUAUCCUCAAACUUGUUGAGUUGAUCGCCUGUAGUCUUAAGAAACAUGUUAGUGUAGUUGUUUUGUUCCAUGAUUCUUCUAACGUCAACAACACUAUCAAUUCCUUUAUUCUUUGGCCUAGUCUUAAAAGGUGAAGCUUUGACUAUGGUUCAAUUAAUGUUCUUUUAUAUCUUAGCUUCUAGAGGGUGGAUGGAUUCUAUGAUAGUAUCGUCACUAGUUUUCCAUAUCUUAGUUUUUUUGGAUGUGUCAUUGACACGCUUACUAGGGUAAUCUAGAUAUUCCUCUUGUUUGAAGAGUUCAAACCAGAUCCAAUACUUAAUGUUCUUCUUUUCUUGUCUUAAGUAUGUGUAGAAUUCUUCUUGGUAGAGGGUUCUAAUGUCUUUAAGGACCUUGCUAAAGAACCAAACUCUCCUUUUCUUAUUGACUUCAGAAUAGAAGUCUUUCCUUAAGAGGUCCUUGUUGAUUCAAAGUCUUCGUUAAUUAGGCUUACAGUGUUAAUCAACUGAGAAUAAGUAGGAGACAUAUCAGGAGAUUCGUCCUGAUGUGAUUCUUGAGUAAACUCAUUUUCCUCCAUGUAAAAGGGUUUGGCCACGUUGGUGUGACUUCUAACACCUGUUAGCUUAAUAUUCUUAGGAUUUGCUGAACUAGAUCCUUCCUCUAUCCUAGUGGUUCUUAUUGGGAUAGAUGAACUUGAAGCUCUAGAGGGCUCAUAAUAUGAAAUUCUAAGGCUGCUAGAAUGAUGAAAAGAGUUGGAGAAAAUUAGAUCUCGUUCUCCAUCAGGAUAUUGAACAAUCUGUUCAAUUCUUUCAGAUCUUUGCUCUAUGGCUGGGACAACAUUAGCAAAAUGCCAAUUUUCUGGAAACUCAACCUCAUUCCACUUGAUUUUCAUGGGGACUAUGAAAUUAGACUUGUUUAUCAUAUCUAAGUGGAAGAUAGUGGUUUCACCCUUGGGACUGGUGCACAAUGCUCCAAAUCCAACGCUUAUGGUCAUGCUCUUAUAGGCAAAUCUGGUGAUGAUGGAAACAUGAUUGUUUCCUUGCUUGAACUUAAAGUCAUGGGUCUUAACAUGAAGGACAACUGAAUCUAAGAUGUUGACAUCUCUUAGUCUAACUGUGAAGUUAGGGAAACACUGGAAAUAAACAGGACCAUCAUUUAAUCCUGCUUGGGUAGCUCCAAUAAUAGAAUCUCGGUAAUCAAGAUGUCUAUUAUCUCUUAAACACAUGACAAUAAAGGUGUUUAGACCUAGUCUUGUCAAGGGCUUAGCUGCAACUUGAAUCAUGCCAAAGUGUAUGAAGUUGUAGUCUCGCUUAUGCUUAUCAAUGGACUUACUAUCCAAGAGUCUUAUGACUUGAUCGUCGUGUUCUAAACUUACUGACAUUUCAGGGGUUUUAAUGGUGUAAUCUGUAAAGAACUUAAAGGUUCCUUUCUUAUAAAUUUCUUGAUUAGGUACCUUGGGUAACUUCCAAUCAUCUAAAUCAUCUUGGAUCUUAGGAUAAUUGAUCUCUUCAUUGUUUACUCUUGAGAAUUUGUGGAUUUCCUAGACAUGGUUCUGAAAAUCAAACUCAUUUUAAGGUUUUAAUCUAGAGCCUAAUAGCAGAUUAACAGACCUAGUGAGUAAUCACCCCAACCCUUUUCCAACCUUAACAAACGCCUAUCUCCAGCUAACAAUGGGCUCAACUCGGCAAGGAUCGCACUCAGGCACACUACUAUCUUUCCUAGGAUAGAUCAAAACACCCAAAACAAACCCGACUUCCUUUUCCUAGGAUAUAUAUAGUAUUUUGGGUUUGAGUAGGAGUUCAUGUUUUGUAUGUAAUUGUAGUCUACGUUGGACUAGGUUGUUUGCUCCUAAUUGAAAUAGGAAUGGUUGGUGUCACAUCUCAUUCAUUUUCUCAUCUAUUUCCAUGUUUAGAUAACUCAAGUAAUCAUAGGAAUGAAAUUAAGAAUGAUUUGAGGGAAAUGAAAUCUCACUUGUAAGUGGGAUCUCAAUUCAUCAUUAAUAGAAGGUAUUUUGAUUACAUAGUGCAAGUUAUUUUUAAAAACACUUUUCAAAAAUUGAAAAACCAAAAACUCUCUUGGAUAAGUUGUUUUUAAAAAGAAUUUUUGUAUUUUUAUUUUGUAAAAAAAAAAAAUAGUAAUUCAAUUUAUAUAAUAUAAAUAGACUUUAAUUUUAUUAAAAAUAAAAAUAAUUUUUUAAUUACAAAUAAAUUAAAAAAUAAAUAUUUGUAAUAAAAUAUGAAUAGUAAUAUUAUAAUAAAAUCAUAAAUAAAUUAAAAAUAUUUUUAAAAACAAAUAAGUUUAAUUUUUUUGAGGUACAAAUGAGCCAAAUUUUUCAUUAGGUACACAACCAACAAUUUUUAUUGGAAACAUUCCUCAAAAAAGAAUUCGUUUCCCAUAUAGCAAAGAUAUUUAUUAUUUAGUAUCUAACCAUCCGUAGUAAUCAUAUCAAUUCUACUAAGUUAUUUAAUAAUUCAUUUAUAUAUAGUACUCAAUUAUGAAUUUUUUUAUUUGAUGUAUAAUUAAUUAAUCAAUGUUUUGAAUUUUGAAUUAUUCUUAAAAUUUAAAACAUUAAUUAUGUCUAUUACUUUUUAUAGUCAUUAUAUAUAUAUAUAUAUAUAUAUAUAGAGAGAGAGAGAGAGAGAGAGAGAGAGAGCUUAAAUUUAUCUUUAAAAAUUAUUAAAUUUAUUAAUAAAUUCAAUACAAAGACUCAUUUGAUUUGAAAUUCAUUUCUUUAGUGAAAAUUUUGAAACUAAAUAGUACUUUGUUUUACUUUGUUUUUAAAUCAUACUCACAAAUAAGUUUUUAUCAUUUAGCCAAAAAAUCUCAAAGAUGUUUCUAAUUUUAUUUAUUUAUUUAUUUGUAAAUGAAAAUAAAAAAUUAGUUUAAACUAAAUAUGCGGAUAUUAUUGUUAAUUUAUUUCAUUUUUUAUUUCCAUUGUUAUUUAACAUUGAAACGGAAACAAAUAAUCAUUCCAAUCUUACAUUCUUAUAUGCAUCUAAACACAAGAAUUGAAAUCACCAAAUUCAUAUUCAAGGCAAAAUAGAAAUGGAAAAAAAAUAUUCAUUUUCAUUCCUCAUUCUCAUGUGCUAAACAUGACAUUAGUUCUACUACCUAUUUCACCAUUCUUCUUGAUAAAUUUGGUAUAUGCAAUAUUGAUCUAAGUGUGAGGUGAAUAAGAAUGAUGAUGGGAUGGGCUUGGAAAUAAGGGCAAAGUUUCUAGGUGCUAUCUAGAGGGGCAACGCGACUUUUUCAAAUUUCGAAUAUUUGUUCUCAACAUAAAGCAAAACUUUACUCACACAAUAGAUAAGACUCUGUUUGUUUUCUUCAUCCACGACUAUAUAAUGUAUAGCUCUUACUCAAGGGAUGAGCUACUUACUAUUAAGGAUUGGGUAAGAUAUUGCCUAAUGGCCAAGAAGGCAUGUCAAAAAAUAAAUCUAAUCACCAUAAAAAAUAAUAGGGGAAAAUUAAUAUAUUAUGAAUGAUGACUUUACUAUUUCUCUAUAUACAUAAUUAUAUAUUUUGAAUUUUCUCACUAGGUAAUGAGAUUCUAAAUCAACUGAAACAUAAUUAAUAAUUUAUAUUUUUAAUGAAUCUUUUAAUUUUUAAAAAUAAUUUAAAAUUUUAAAAAACAAUUCAAUUAAUUACAUAUUAAAUCAAAACAUUUCAAAAUAUUGUGUUUGUAGAUGAGUACUAAAUGCUUGCAUAUAAUAAUAAUAAUAAAAAAAUUGACUCAUUUAGAUGUUAAAAAAGUUAAAUGUUUUUCAUUAUUCAUUUUAAGUAAAAUAUUAUUGACAUUAUUAUUAUAAAAUUAUUAUUAUUCAUUUUUAACAAAAAACAAAAUAAGUUAUUCUUUUACCAAGAUGUCAAUAUCUAUAUUUUUCUAACAUAUAUUAAAAUAGUAUACUUUUCUUUUAUUAAAAAUAAUAAUUAUUAUUAUAUUAUUAUUCAAGUUUUAUUAAAAAAAUUUAUCUUUUAAUUCAUUUGUAAUUACAAAAUAAUUUUAUUUUAUUAAGAAUUUAAUUUAAUUACGCUUUUUUUUUUUAUAAAAAAAACAGUUAUGCUUUUACCAAGAUGUUAAUAUUCAUAUUUUUCUAGCUAACAUAAAUAGAAUAGUACACUUUUUCAUAUAAAAAAAUAAUUUAUGAUUUUAUUAUAAUGUUACUAUUCACAUUUUACUAAAAAUAUUUAUUUAUUUUAUUUAUUUUUAAUUAUAAAAUAAUUUUAUUUUCAAGAAUUUAAUUUUAAAAAAAUAGAAAUCAUUUAUUCUUUUACCAAGAUGUUAAUAAACAUAUUUUUCUAACAUAUACUAAAAUAAAAAAGUUUACUUGUUCAUUAAAAAAUAUAAUUUAUGUUUUUAUUAUAAUACUACUAUCUAUGUUCUACUAAAAAUAUUUAUUUAUAAUUAAAAAAUAAUUUCAUUUUUAAUAAGACUUGAACUAAAUUAAAUUUAUAAUUUUUUUUUAAAAUAAAAUAGAAAAUUAUUUUUUAAAAACAACUUAUUGAAAGAAAUUUUUUAUUCUUUACUUUUAAGAACUGUUUUUAAAAGCAACCUAUAAACCCCUUUGGGUCUGUUUGGCUAUGUUUCAUGCAACUUGUUUUUAAAAAUUGUUUUUUAUUCUUUAAUUUAAUUUUUUUUAAGUUAAAGAAUAAAAAACAACUUUCUAGUGUUUUAUAAAAAUGAGAGCUUUUGACAAGUUGUUUUUAAAAACCAUUUUUAAAAAUAAAAAAUAAAAAACUUAUUUAGAUAAAUUGUUAUAUAUAUAUAUAUAUAUAUAUUUGUAAAAACAUUUUAAAUUCAAUUUAUAUAAUAUAAAUUUAAUUUAAUUUAAGUCUUAUUAAAAAAAAAUUGUUUGGAUAAGUUUUUUUUUUUAAAUAGUUUAUUAUUUUUGUUUUGUAAAAACAUUGCAAAUUCAAUUUAUAUAAUAUAAAUUAAUUUAAUUCAAGUCUUAUUAAAACCAAAAUAAUUUUAUAAUUACAAAUAAAUUUAAAAAUAAUUUUUUUAGUAAAACAUGAAUAAUAAAAUUAUAAAUUAUAUUAUUGUGGACCCUGCAUUUAUGCUCAUGCGCUUCCACUUGUUGGCGAACUCAUUUUUUAUUUGAAAAUGAUUUAUUUUUUUAGAAAAUGACUUAGAGUCGCCACUUAUUUUUGUUUUAUUUUUAAAGGGCAAGCAAAAUAAGAAAGAAAACCCUAAGUGUGACUCCUUAUUCGAAAAAGGUAGUCUGUGUAAAACCGGAUCAGGGUUCAGGGAUCAGGUUACUUAUUGGGAAGGUAUGACAAUGACCGUAGCACUCCUCUAAGUCCUUAAAAACGGGCCUCUACUAAAAAAAAUAAAGUAAUCAUGGCAAUCAGUAAGGAAAUCACUGGAUACCCAGAACAAUUAUGCACAUGUGAGAAUUAAAACAUGCAUAAGAAUGGACAAAGUGAGAGUGGGUGCGUACCUUGACAACGAACCACAAUGCGUUAUCAAGAAAUGGGGUUAGUGCACGAUCAAUGAACAUAAAACACGUCACACAUGUCACUAAGCAGAGUGAGAAAUCAUCAGAUAUUACAAUUCAAUCAAAUUUAUUUUUAGAAGAAACAUCUGUUGAUGUAGAGCCCCUACCAAAGCCUAAUUUAUUUUUGCAUGAAUCAAUUUCAUAAAUUCAAUCGCUUGGAAUUACAGAAUUAAAUUCAUGCUUAUUUUAAAACAUCUUUUUAAAAUCAUGGAAGAUGUGAAAAUGGUUUUCCAAAGAGAAAAUGACAACUGAUUUUAUUGAAAAUGGGAUUUUGGGGACCUAAACGUUAAAGAGGGAUUAGGAAUUGAAAAUUAAAUCAUUUGAAAAUUGAAUUUUUCAAAAAUCAGUUUUGAAAGCAUGCAUGCAAGUAUGGACUGUGAAAGUGGGCCUAGGGAGGGUGGCCAUGCAAAAUGAGGUCAUACACGUGGGCCUUGGGUACAAUUGGGACUACUUUGCUGGUGCCAGUGGUGCUUGCAGCUGUCAUCCAUGAUUUCUUCAUUGGGAUCAAUUUCCAUUCUUACUGCCAAACAUUCCAUAACAAUUGACCAAACUAGUAACCCUGACCUUGCAUGAAAAUGAACGUUACCUAGAAACUCACUGCCAGUGAGAUUCAUUGCUCUUUCAAAAGGUCUCAUUUUCUUUCUCAUCCAAUUGCUUUAAGGAGCAUUCUAGCGUCACGAUUGGUGACUGCGCAUCAUCUAGAGCCUUCUUUCUUCUCAGAAUCAGGUUUGCGUGCAGAGGCCUGUGCUUGUUCAAGGUUGACCUAAAUUCAUCUAGGUUUAGAACCGACCAGUUGAGCUUGGGGAGCAACGACAAGAAUAUCAGUCACUUGCGAAGAGAAAACUCGAGAUCUUUCAAGUAAUGCCUGACAUAGAUUCCUCCAACCUGUGGCCAAUAUCUCAUUCCUUGUUGGCCAGACGCCUAUUAGGGCGUAUCUCAAUCAAUAAUAUGAUUUUUCGUUUGUUCACAAUAAAGACCGGAAGCCAUGGUUGUGAUUUAUGCAGUACAGAAGAAGUUGCCAUGGCUGGUAUCCUUACAAAUUCUGGUGUUUCUGCUAUCUGUUCAAGUGCAAAACACAACAGCUUUAUCAAGUUUGUCCCUAACAACUGAUAUUGAGCCCUCUGGAGGAAACCUUGAUAAAUUCAUAAUCACUUUUGACUCAUGCAUGGGCUGCCCAUCAAAUUUUCCUAGCAACGAGACGACUGCUGUCAUCUACUGCAAAGAGAAUUUCUUCUCGCAAAGACAAGAGGAGUUUAAGAAUACACACUAUUCUGCCAUUUCAUUUCCUCUUUCUCCACAACCAACAUAAACCAUAGUGUCUACAUUAGAGUACUUAGAAAGAGCUUAACUGAUGACCGUUUUUCCACAACCAAAUGCCCCAGGUAUGGCACAAAUUUCACCGAAAACAGAAGGGAAAAGGGCAUCAAGAACACGCUGUCCUGUAAGUAGUGGGGUAUCAGGACUACUCUAGGGAAGUUAUUUCUGUCAUUUUGAAAAAGAAAAAUUAAAGAAUGUACACAUGCUUUCAAGUGGACUGGAGCAUUCUACAUAUCAGGUGGUCUGUAGCCACAUGUGCCACUUUGUGGAAGUUGGAACAGUCGAUCACUAGGCUAUUUAGUGUGGCCAAGCCACGUUAAUCAAGGACAAGUCUUCAUACUUAAAAGUCAAAUGGUGCCUUUAGUCUCAUUACACAUGGCUAUUUAAAGAUGAACUAAUCUUUAGUGUAAUGUGAUUAAGACAGUACUAACUGAUCAAUAUUUUUUCUAAUUUUGGAUGCAAAUGCUUGCUGGCUUCAUCAUUGGAUGGGAUAAAGGUGCAUUCAUGACUCUGAAUACUUGCAGUAAUACUUGCAGUAAUACUUCAUUCUCUUUUUUCUCGAUGAGACUUCUUGGCACAAUUUUGCUUCUCAGCAACCUACCUCUCCAUGGAAAAUGAGUUGCGAUUGAUGGUACUGGAUAUUUUCUAGGAAGCUAAAUAUAGAUAUAUAGCACUCAAUGUCAACGAUAUAUAUAGCAUUAACAGUAUAUGUCUCAAUGCUCAUCAGCUACAAGCAAGGGACAAACACUUACAAUGAAUAACUCACGUCAACAUUCCUAAACAGGACAUAGAAGUGACAGAUCUAUAUAUAGAACACUGCAUAUGAGUCACAAGAAAAGAUAAUACGGGUGCAUAGCAGCUCUUAUAUUACAUAUUACUCAUACCGUUCAAAUUCACUCAGUUGGGAUGGGUGGGAGAAGGAGGCCUCUGGGGUGGCUUGUGCGUGUGAGAAGUGGAAGAAAGUUGAAUGGAAUGAAACUGAAAAACAGGGUAGAAUAGAGGUUUCUUGAAUCUUCUGAAAUCUUUAUUUUUCUGAGAUUUAUUCUCUGUUUUUGUGAGUCGUGACUCUACAUAUAUACAUGUAUUUAAAGUUAGUUAUGCCUUAUAACUAAUUAUCUAACAGUACCAAAACUAAUCAUCUAGUUGCAUGUUUCUAAUUAAUGCUAUUUAGUUACAACUAUAUAUGGCUUAACAUCCUCUCUCAAACUCAAAAGUCUAGCUAGAACAGUGAGUUUGCUUCAUAGAUUGAGAAAUUGUUGAAUAGGUAAGGCUUUGGUAAGAGCAUUAGCAAUCUGGUCAUAAGAAGGAAUGUGUUGAACCACCAAAGUCUUAUUGAGCACCUUUUCCUGAACAAAAUGGCAAUCUAGUUCCACAUGCUUAACUCGAGAAUGAAAAUAGGAUUGGCAGCAAGAAAGGUGGCUGAAAGAUUGUCAUAGAACAAAACAAAAUAGGAGAAUAAGAAGAUGAGAUAGAAAACUCCUGAAGAAGAUGUUGAAUCCAUUGAAGUUCAAAAGCAACAUUUGCUAAGGCCCUAUACUCAGCUUCAUUGCUGGAACGAGACACAACUUUCUGCUUACUGGAGUUCCAGGAGACUAGAUUAGAGCUAAAAAAGAUGCAAUGACCACUUGUACUUCGACGAUCAUCAGGGCAACCAACCCAAUCAACAUCAGCAUAAGCAGUAAGUUGAAAAUCAGGAGAAGAAUAAAAGGAAAGACCAAAGGAAGUAGUGCCCUUAAGAUAAUGCAACAAUCGUUUAACAACUUGCCAAUGAAGAUCAGUUGGUUAUUGCAUGAAUUGGCAAAGUUUAUUGAUAGAGAAAGAGAUGUCAGGCCUUGUAAUGGUACAAUAUUGCAGGGCUUCAACAAUGUUGCGAUAUUGAGAAGGGUCAGCCAAGAGGGAACCUUUAGAGGCAGAUAAAGUGUGAGAGGUAGUCAUUGGUGUAUCAAUAGGUUUAAAAUAUGGAAGACCAGCACGAGUUAACAAGUCCUGAAUAUAUUUGGUUUGGGAAAGAUGAAGAGAAGAUCCUUGCCAACAUACUUCUACACCCAAGAAGUAAUUCAGAAUACCAAGGUCCUUGAGAGCAAACUGAAAGUGUAAAGACGAAACCAUUUGGUGGACUAGCACGGUAUUAAGACCACUAACAAUAAUGUCAUCAACAUAGAUGAGAAUAAUGAUCAUGUCAGUCCCUUUCCGAAGAGGAGCUUGCUUCAGACCCUACAAGGCUUUGCGAAGUUUACAGAAAAAACCGGGUUUAGAAUGAUCAACAAAGCCUGGAGGUUGAACCAUGUAAACCUCUUCUUCUAACUCACCAUUGAGAAAGGCAUUAUUAACAUCUAAUUGUUCCACUAACCAACCAUGAGAAAUAGCAAGAGAAAGAACAAUUCAUAUAGUAGUUGGUUUAACAACAAGGCAAAAGGUUUCAAAAUAAUCAAUACCAUAUGUUUGAUUAAAACCCUUUGCAACUAAGUAGGCUUUAAAACGAUCAAUUGAGCCAUUAGCUUUGAGUUUCAGCUUGUAUAUCCAUUUACAACUAAUAAUGCGUGUAUUAACAGGUUUAGGAACCAAUGUCCAUGUGGAAUUGGUGAGAAGAGCAUCAUACUCAGUCUUCAUAGCAGCUUGCCAAUUAGGAUGCAAUAUUGCUUCUUUGAAAGAGGAGGGUUCGACAACAGUAGUUUGGAUAGCAAGGCUAAAUAUUUUUUUGGGUUUAAAAAUACCAUUUUGGCUACGAGUAACAAUAGUUCGGUUUGGAAGUGAAAGAGGAUCAGUGGAGGAGGCUGGAACAAGGGAUUGUGGUAAAGUAGGAAAGGAAGGUGGAUGAGAUGGAACAAAAUCAGUAGGGACAAUAAUGGGAGAAGAAAAAUUAGGUGGAGAAUGAUGAGGAUUCCUUGAAGAUGGUGUAGGAAUAGAGAGAAUACCAGAAUCAAGAAGUGUUAAAGAAGAGUUGGAUGAUGAUACUGGUUGACAGGAUAAAGACUUUGUUAAAAAUGGAAAUCGAGUUUCAUCAAAUACAACAUGACGAGAAGCAUAUAUCCGAGAGGAAGCCAUAUCCAAACAGAGGAAUCCCUUGUGUUUAGCACUAUAACCCAAAAAACAGCAAACAACAAAUAUAUUUGCUAGCUUGUGAGAAGCAUAAGGGCGAAGAUAAGGAAAACACAAGCAUCCAAAACUUCAAAGAGAUGUAUAAUAAGGUAAACGAUUAUAAAGAACUCCAUAAGGAGAAUUUUGUGAAAGAACAGCAGAGGGAAGGCAAUUUAUGAGAAAAAUGGCAGUUUGAAAUGCAAAUGACCAAUAUUUGAGAGGGUAUACCAGCUUGUAUUAACAAAGAAAGACCAACUUCCACAACAUGACGAUUCUUUCUUUCAACUCUUCAAUUUUGCUAAGGAGUAUAAUGACAAGAGACUUGAUGAAGAAGACCAUUUGUAGCCAAAUAAUUCUGAAAAGCUGAAACUGAAACUCAUCAAAUUGAUUUUUAGUAUCAAAUUUUCUUCAGACUGAACACAUUGAUUUUUAGUAUCAAAUUUUCUUUCAACCAUGGCUUGAAAAUGUUGGAACAUAAGUAAAGCUUCAUCUUUAGUUUCCAAAAGGUACAACCAUGAGAAUAUGCUAAAAUCAUCAAUUAGCAAGAGGAAAUAUUGAGCAUUACCAUUGACAGAAACUAUAGGAGUUGCACCCCAAAGAUCAACAUGGAUGAGACCGAAUGGUUUUAUUGCUCUAGAAGUGGAUAUUUCAAAUGGAAAACGAUGGCUUUUAGCCAACUGACAAGACUCACAUACAGAGUUAUUAUUGUCAUGUUUCAAAGGUAUUUUAUAAAGAGAUAAGAUUUUGGAAACUACAUUAAUAGAGGGAUGACCAAGUCUAUUAUGCCAAAGCCUCAAAGAACCAACGGCUAAAGUACUACUAGUAGAGUAAAAUACUAGUGGAUGACCAACAACUCUUGGUGUAGCAAGAAGUUUAUAGAGACCCUUCUCAAUUUUUCCUUGAAGAAGAGCAAGUCUCGUUUCCUGAUCCUUUACCACAAAAUGAGAAGAACGAAAUUCAAUAAAGGUGCCAUUGUUUGAGUAAAAUCGUUGCACGCUAACUAAGUUGGUGGUAAUAGAAGGAACAUGUAAGACAUCAUUGAAAAACAAAGAACCACUUGAAGAGGCAAGAGAAAAUUUACCAAUAUUUGCAAUGGAUAAACCCUUACCAUCUCCAACAAUUACUUUGUCACCACUGGUAAAUGGAUUAUGGAUUGUUAAAUUGUUAAGAUCAGAUGUGAGAUGAUGGGUAGCCUUUGUAUCAAGAAACCAAUAAGUGUCUCCCAUUGUUGCAGAAGUUGUAGUCAUAGCCUCAGGAUUGUUAGAGGUGGAAUGUUUAGAAUCUUUUGGCUGAUAAUCAGAGUUAAACCGAUACCAGCAUUGUAAAGCGGUGUGUCCGAACUUACAACCGAGAGAAAUAAUCUUUACUUAUUCUCUAAAAACUGUUCUUUAUUCCACACAUUAUUUCUAAAAACUGUUUCUAGAUAACAAUGACAAAAUAGUAUUAGGAAUUUUUAAAAAUAAAAAUUGUUUUUAAAUUACAUGAUCUAUAUCAUUCACAUUUGACCAUUAUAGCUUUGUUCAGGAAAACACUUGAAAGUAACCUUAUCGUGAUAAGAGAUAUAAGUUGGCUGUAGUUUCAAACUGAAAACAGAGGAUGGCAAUAGAAAGCAAAGCAUUAGUUAUCUGCAAUCAGUGGUGAUCAUGCCCCAUGUCAAUUUCGGACCCAUAUCUUAAAACCGUAUAAUUUGCAUUUCAACAUUUCUGAUUUCUCAGAUGUUUCAUACUCCACAGAAGAACAUUGUUUGUGAAAGCAUGCAUUUAUGCUGGAUUUUGGAUGAUGUGGGAACUGGGGCAAGGAUCAUAUGGAAGAGUGGUCGAUUUUUUCUGUACUUUAACAUUUGAAAUAGGAGCAGCACGGGCAUUUGUGGGGCUUAAUUGAUUUUGAAGCCUGAAAUUGCGUUUCUGUCAUUUUGUAAAAAAUAUGGCAGAUUCCAUGCUCUCAUAUGUUUGGUCUGUGGCCAUGUAUAGAUGCCACUUAGUGACCAGUUUGUAACUGUCAAUCAUAGUGUUUUGACUCUGGCUCAACAACAUCAGCCAUUGACGGAUUUUCAUACAUGCAAAUCAAAUAGUCUUCUUCCUCCCUUAGGAAUUUCGGUUUAAAUGUUAUUAAGCAUACAUUUGGCUGACAAUUAUUAACCACUUCAUGAUAUGGUUUCUUACCCUUAAUCAAUGGUUUCUAAGUGAAUAUAUGCAGAAGGAAAUCUGAACUGUAGACAGCAGUAUUGAUAAUUAUCAAUAUUCUUUAUAUAAGAGAAUAAACAACGUCAUAGUGAUCGUCGCCUACAAGAAAGGUACAUUUCCCAACAAGAUGUAGUUGUGACUGGUACAUGGACGUAAUUAACUCGUAGAAAAGGAUAAGACCAGUGCACGGCAGCUCUUAUUUUACAUGCUAAUUAUGCUAACCAAAGUCACUCAGUUGGGAUGGGAGGGAGAUGGAGGUUUGUGCGGUGGCUUGUGGGGCGGAGUUGGUGGCUUCUUUUCAGGAGCUUGUGGCUUUUUCGGAGCUGAAGGAGGCUCAAUCUUAUGAGGCGGCUUGUACGAGUCUUCUUUACUCUCGACAGGAGGGUGGCCAGGGUUGUGACCAUAAUGUGGUGGCUUCUCUCCCUUAGGUGGCUUGCCAACUGGGGUUGGUGGCUUGUGUUCAGGAAGUGGUUUCUCUCCCUUGGGAGGUUUACCAAUUGGGGUUGGUGGCUUGUGUUCUGGGAGUGGUUUCUCUCCCUUGGGAGGUUUAGUGGGUGACUUGUGUUCUGGAGGUGGCUUCUCCACCGGAGGCUUGUGCUCCGGUGGUGGCUUCUUGGUUGGAGGGGGCUUGGGGUAAUCAGCAAGAGAUGGGGGGGUGAGAACCACCACUCCAAGGAACAACACUAGCAAGUAUGUGGGAGACAUUUCUGAGUUUGAGCUGAUCAGAUGAUGCAAAACUAGAAGAAUUACGUGACCUUUUAUAGCAAGUAGCUCCCAAUACCCACAUGACACGUGUUACUGUGACCAUAAAUAUUAUAGGGUCCAUUUGUGCCCUACCGGGUUGAAAACUUGGACGCUUGGCCGAGGACACACCGAACUAUGGAGGACUAUUGACGUGUGAUCACAGCUUUUGGAUUUUUCUUCCUGUGCAGCUGUCUAGCGGUUGGCAUUAUUUUUUUAAUCUUAAAUAAAGGCAUAGUUAUAGAGUACAUUUAUAUAUCUUCAGAUAGCCAUUAAUAUAUUUGAUGAAGAAAGACAAGUGCAUACAACAUGUAUACGGCUUGCUUCAAUCGAGUACAUUUAUGAUCAGUUUUCCAGUGCAAGUAAACCAGUUUUUUGUUCCACAACUAUUUUGGAAUCUUGUUUAUCAGUUUCUAUCAUUAUAAUGUCACAUAGGCUGCAAACUUGGGCACCCAAAGAUCUAGUUGGGCAAAUUUGUUUCAGAAUUUCAAUGGUGGAUUCAGUAAUUGUUAAAAGGUGUUUCUUCAUUAAGGAAAGAGUCCUGUAAAAAUAUUGUUAAAAGGUGUCAUAGAAACUAUAAUAAUUAAAUAACUUCUUUUCCCCGUGGGUGGUGUUUCUUCUGGGGAUACCCAAAAUGAGUUCAGAUUAAAAUUGGUUCGAGUCAAAGCUGUCUCUUUUGUCCAGAAAUCAACUAUUUUGCGCAUUGCAUGAAUCGAUAAAGAAAAAAUGAAAGCCAAAUCACACCUCCCCUGCAAAACCUAAACCCCGGUUGCUAACUUUCUAUGUUUCAGUCCUAUUCAUACAGGAAUAUUGGUUCAAGUUUGAGAAAAAUGGCAACUUACCUAGGGAUUACUUGGUUGUGGUUUGCGACGACUAUUUACGCAACCAACCAUGAGUUUGACUUUAACGUCAUGGGUUGAAGCCUCCUACAAUCGUGUAUGAUAGUUCAAAGCUCGUAGUAGAAAUUAUACAGGAAGGAAGAAACCUCCAAAGCUAGCUCCAAAAGAGAAUUAUCACAUCGAUAGCUCCAGAGAUUCCCAAGGGGACUGAAUCAAAGACAAGUUCCUCACUUUUUCUUCUUUUGAGGCCAAAUAUGAACCAAGGAUCACACGACCUCAUUCAACUUCAUAAGUUUGAUUUCAUGCAGUUGAACACUGGGUGAAGGCCAUGACAAGAAUUGAUUAAAAAAUUCUACCACUGUUUUAAGUAAUGGAAGAUUAUUAUCUCUGAUUGGCACCACAACAGCACAUGCUGCUAGAUCUUUCUAGACACUCCAUGCAAUGAAAGUACAAUGGAUCUUGUAACGAUAGAAACUAAGCCAUGCUACAGUACUAGAUGACGAGGUAAAACUAUUAGACAUGGGUGGCAGCCUAUAUGGGAGGGACACAAGUCUAAUUGAUUUGCAUUUCAGCGUUCUAGAUGGGUAUGUUUUGGAAGAUUUGUUCUGGAAAUACCGCACCAAGUAGGAUUCUUUUUUCUCUUGAGUGGGUCCACUUGCAUGCCAAUUAUCGAGUUGAAAAGUAGAGCACCUACCUCGUGCUCGUGGAACCGAAGGUCAGUGAAGUGGGGCUCCUUUUGGCCUCUUGUGUUUCUGUUCCAACCAAGGCGGCGGAGGGAAAAACAGCAAUAUGUCUCCGCUAAAUAUCAACGCAUGAUAGCGAAUGAGGGAGAAAAAAAGUAAUUGGCAUCUCAAUCUCACAAACUUGGUACAGUAGUGACAUUAAUAGUCUUCCACAUGGUUUUUAUUUUAUUUUAUUUUAUAUUUUAUAUUUUCCAUUUUUUUAUUUUUUUGUAUGUCAAGGCUAAUGAAUAAAAUGCGUUAGCUUGUUUUGUGAUUGGAACUGCAAAUGUCCAAAUUGGAGUUUCUCCAUUUCUCAGUUCGGAUGGUUAACUUUAUAAACAAGAUAUAGGAAACAUGUGAACGUCUUGAGGAACAAUUCGAAUUAUUGAUUAGAACUCCUAGGUUGAGUUCCAAGAUUUAAAUCAGACCCCUCUAGCAGCUUCAGGGGUACCUAGCAAUUAGAACAUAUUAAUGAAGAUUUAGGAUUUAGACUCCGGAAUACAAAUUAAUAUGUAUCUUAUGCUCUGACUAGCUUCCCUGCAUAUGCACAAAAUGGAGAUGACCCAAAAAAUAGCAGAAUCGCCUUAGUUUAUGUGGUUAAGGUGAUUCUCCGGUUAAUAUCCACAUUGGCUCAUUAUGCAAAUCAACUGAGCUAUUUUUUUUUUAAUGUCAAAUAGGAACUCCUAAUUAACCUAACCAUUGGCCUGUGUAAAUUGAUUUCACAUGCACAAUGUUGUAGUAGAAGUCCACAUUUUGAAUUUUAUUUUUGGAAAGGUAAGGAAAAUGAAGCAUUGUGUAAUUAUAAAAAUAACUUCAUUGGAAUUCACAAGGUUCACCCAAAAUGGAGCUACAUCCGUAUUCUAUCUUACAGUAGACUAUAUAGAUUGUACAAUAGUAAAUUGCAAAUACAAUUAAUAAGUCUUGUGUUUCCUUACUAAUAAUCCUUUGACAUAAACAUUGCAGCACUAAGGUCCUCUUGGGCAGACACCUUGCACCCAUGAGAGCACUAAGAGGAAGCAAGGCGGAGUCAUGGGUGCAAUGUCAUGACUUGUUGCACUAAGAGAGGCUUGGUGAUGGCAUAGUGCUGCAGUAGCAAGAAUGUUGCCUUGGCAGGGACACGAUCUAGGGACAGAUGCCAAGAAAGGCUUAGCACUCACAUGAGUUGCACAAAGAUGAAUGAAAUAGAACAUCAAAGAGACAUCUUGGCAAGCUCAAGAAAGACAUGUGGGUUGGUAAAUGAAUGGAUGCAAGAGGCAACAACAUGAGGAGUUUCAAAUGGAUAGGGAAUGAGUCAAAGACAUUUGAAAGCUACAAGUUGGAUUCUAAUUACGAUUGCAAUUUGAGUUUGAGUAGGAGUUUAUAUUAUGAUUGUAAUUGUAGUAUGAGUUGGACUAGGAUUGCUUAUCCCUAGUCAAAAUAGGAGUUGUUCAUGCCACACCCUAUGAAAAGAGUUUGAGUAGGGACUAGGAUUGCUUGCUCCUAGUCAAAUAUGGAGUAGGUGGUGCCACACCUAUAAAAAAAAAAGGGACAACAUGAGAGAGAGAGAGAAUGAAUUCACCAAAGAUAUUGUGGGAGUUUUGCUUUGUUACAUCUUGUAUUAUUAUUUAGAAUAGUAAUAAAAUACAAGUUGGGGCUAGAGCCCCAUAAUCUCGUGUGCCUUUGUGGGUUAUUCUUUAUUUGCCAUCUCGUGUGGAUUGGAUUAGAUUGAUGAGGCGAAAUAUUAUGUGGGAAAUUUAUGUUGGGACACUUACCAUAACCAGGUAAAAUCUACCAAGUCUUUUGUAAUAUCUUCUACAAAUAUUUUAGACCAGUUCUUCACAAAACAUCAUAAUAUGUUUUGUGUUUCUCUUGGAUUUUGAGUUGAAUUGUCUUAGAUCAAUUGAAUGCAUCUCAAUAUUAUUAUCUUGUUUGAAGGCUUGAUGAUUUUCCAUUUAACUUUACUUUCUUUAGGUUAUGCUUGAUUCCUUAAAAGUACUAAGGAAAACAAAAAAUAAAAAAAAAUAAAAAAUGCAGAGGGUUAGGACAUGUGUUAUCUAAUUGUCCUAUCCAAAGAUAUUAAGAAAGUCAUGUAGGAAAGUAAUUGAAAACUAGGUCAAGAAAGGAGCAAAAGGGAAUUGUUUUGGUAUUUUCUUUUUUAUUCUUGAAGGUGGCAGAGCUAAAAUUUGAGAAAUCAAGCAAAACAUACUGAAAUUACAUUGAAAGAAAGAAAAUGGUAGUUAAUGUCUUGCAGUACAUGAUAAGGACUUCAUGCAUGUAGUGUGACGACCCAUGUCUUGGACUGAUGCCACACUCACGGUUACACUUAUACCCUUGGUUCUCUCUUUACUACCUUGGCUAACCUAGAUCAGGCUAUGAGAUAGGCUCCUCACCACACCAUCACUUGCCCAGUAAUUAGUGACAUUUUCAAGCAAUGAGGUAACAUGGUGACACCAAGAGGGUUUAUCCCUCGCCCCAACAAGUCUAGACUCGGUCUCAAAAAAAUGGAGAAAAAUGAGGUGUCGUUAUGCAGAAAUACAACAACCAUGCCUUCCUUAUUACUUAGAUUCAGAAUGUGAAGGUGAAAUUGAGAAACAGAAACUCUUGAAACCAGAAUGAAAAUUGAUACUUUUACGAAGAAUUACAACAUUAGAGGAAGACUACAUUCUUCCUCUAUAUUCCUACGUUUCUACACUACUUCUACUCCACUCCAUAUUUCUACAUACAUCUUUAAUCAGUUUUCCCUCCUUUAUAUAGAGCCAUCUUCACACAAAUUCCGCAAGGUAGAAAAGAGGAAUGAAACUUGGAGCAAGGUUCGACUACUGGUUGUCGCUUGUCAAGGCUGGAAUUGAACUUUUUUUCUUGGCUUUUCUGGGCAUAGGUAGUAACUUGUGGUUCCUUUUUGGAAUGAAAAUGGUACAGCUAGAACAUGUGGCACUCUCUUGUUGGAUUAUGUGUCAAACAUGUGGCAGCCAUCUAGUGGAGAUUAUUUCAAUUUUGGGAUGGAGAGUUGGCAUCCAAUUGCAAAGAAAUAUGACAUCUACCAACAUGCAAUGUAAACCUAUAUAGAUCAUAUGGAGAUAGAGAGGAAACAUAUAGAAAUGGAUAUAUACCUAGAACUAGCUUUUUAUUAAAUGAGACGGAGAGCCAACAAUGAAGGAAAAUCAAAAUUUUUGGCUCAUAUCAAAGAAUUCACAUUGUGUUACCCUAGGUUUUCUUAAAGCUUGCACAAAGCCAAAAAGCACACAAAAAAUUAUAUUUUCUAGCUCUCUACCUUGGAUGGUCUCUUGAUCCUACUUGGAGAUGUGCAUAAAUAAAAGGAUUUGAAAAUGACAAUUGACUAAGUAUGUAGUCAAUCAAUUACUCAUUAAUUGACUAGUUGAUCAAUUAACUUUGCAACAUCAUAUGCAAUCCUAAUAGCUAGUCAUCUAAUCAACUAGGUAGUAAAUCAAUAGGCCAAAAAUAUGUUUAUAAUGACUAUUUUGUACAAAAACCACCUAUAUGGUUAAAUAUAAUGCAUUUCAUUUAUAAAUCUUCUAAUUCUUGAAUAACGAUCCUAUCAUCCUUUGAAAGUUUUUAUUACACCUUUUAUACUUUUGUUCUAAAACUUACACAUGUACAUCACCCUUAAUUGUACCAUGAGAACCUAGCUUUUUUUUUUUUUUUUUUUGUAAUUCAUCAAAGUUAGCUUUUGUAUUCAUUACUGUACUAUUUUUAUUGUAACUUAGAAAGCGAGUGUUUUCAAGUGAGUGAAAUUGACUUAUAAAUAUUGUAAAGAUUCAUUGAUGUGUAUCUUAAACUAAGUGUACAAGUUGAAACAUUUGCUAGUAGAUUUUCUCAAGAUUUAGAAUAGAGCUUGAGGCUAUUGAAAUAGGUGGGGUUGCACCAAACCACAUCACAUUGUUGUUUGCACCUUUUUUUCACUCUCUUUUACUUAGUUGCUCUAUAUUUGUUGUCUAGUAAUAUCCUAUAGGCUUGAUGGGUUAGGGAGCAUCCCUUUGUGAAAAAUUUUCAUUCAAUCCUUAGUUGUAUCACGCAUAUAUAAAAUGCCUCAUUGUUUUAAUGGUAUUCAGUCGUGGCAUCACAGAUAUGGGCAUCUAAAUUUUAAAAGUUUGAAACUUUUAUCUAAAGAAAAUAUGGUGCUUUGCCUUUUUGUAAAGCAUGUUGAUGAAAUCCAUGAGAAUUGUGUACUUGGGAAGCAACAUCGAGAUGACUUUUUUUUUUUUCAUUUUUUAUAAUGCGACACCUAAGUCCGGUUUCUAAAUGCUGAAGUGAAAGGGUAGGUAUGGACCAUUGAAAUCUGAUCACAACUUUUGGCCUUUUCCUUUCUCUGCAGCCAUGUUGUCUCUUUUUUCUUUUGCAUGAUUUUCUUACCUAAACAGAAUCAUAGACUUGUUUAAUCUCUAAAUGGUAUUUCAUCCAGCUUUAAGCUACUGUAUUAUAUCUUGGUGGAGGACUUUUAAGAGUGAAACCGACAUAGAGCACAUGCAAGUGGGUAUAUGGGACAUGAAAUUUCUUCUUAUAAAGACUGCAUGGUUUUUAUAUUAGAGUUGUUGAGGCGCAAUGUAUUUAGCUUGUUUUGCAGUUAAAUUAAUUGGAUAAGUAGACAUUGUCGUUUCUAAAUUUCCCACCUAAGAUAGUGACCUUAUCCUUGACUGCUUGAUGAGAUACACAAACAAUUAUACCUUCAAAAUCUACUGUGAAGUGCUUCAUGUAUGUGUGAAGUAUUAGAAAUUUCUUUCUUGGCAACUUGUUUUUUCUUUGCCCUCUACUGAUAGGUUUGACUCAAAUUAAAUUCCCUGUCAUGCUAAUUAAUUUUCACGUGCAUGCUCAAAAGGAUCACGUCAACUCUGGUUUCUACUAUUCAGGUCCAUUCCCAGAUAAACUGGUUCAAAUUUGAGAAAAUGGCAACAGCCCUUUAGUGAUGUUGGUUUGGAGCCAGUAGCCAAACCCGCCCUGAGCUUUACCACUAAUGUCAAGGGACAAAGCCAUUUGAACAAAAACAAUAGCUUCAAGAGACUGAAUCGUGGAUGAAAUCUGAUCCACAUUUCUUCUCAUUUUGGGAACAAAUGAGAACUUAACUACAAAGAUUCUACUGCCUCAUAGUGCUUUUCCUGAUCUAAGGUUGGUUCGUUUCCCAAAUUGUGAGGUACGUGCCAUUCUCACGCUCAGGAGUGUAUCCACGUGGUGGACAUAAGAUGGUGGCUUAAUAUCUGGUGUCGGUGGCUUUACUUUACUAGGAGAGUAGUGUGUCUUCAUCUCAUUCACUGCCGGAGGGUGGCGUAAGCAGUGACGCUAAGGUGGGGCACAGUCAAUAUCAUUUGCAUUUGACCAUUAUAGUUUUCUCCCGGCUUGAAAGUAACCUUAUCGUGAUAAAGGAUUACUAGCACUAGUUCAGAUGACAGUCAUGUUAAAUUCGGACCAUGUUUGUGUCACAUUAUCAGCAACCAUGUGUUUAUGGUUCAUGCUAUCUGCAACUAAACUUGAUAUAUAACCACGUGAACUUCAAUCUAAAUUCUGGAAGUACUCUUGUGAUAGAUGGUGCCUGUCUGCAGAGUCCAUCAAUUGAAAAAUGGAGUGAGUGUAUCUAUAAGAGGGAAGGCUUGGCAAAUGUUCAGUUUUCUGGGAACUCAACAAGGAUCUAAAAUAGAUUGUUUUCUUUGCUGAUUUCAAUGGUUGAAAUUUGAGAAGAUUGUGUCCACAUAACACAACUAUUACUGGUCCUUCUGUUGCAAUUUAUCCUCUAAGGCUCUAACAUGUCUUCCAAUUCCCACUUCCCUGUUACUCCAGGAAAGCUAUUUCUGUCAUUGUGAAGAAGAAAAGAGAAUGUACAUAUCGAUGGUUUUAAGUGACUGGGGCAUUCAUAUCAGGUGGUCUGCAGCCAUAUAUGCCACUUUGUGAAGGUUGGAACAGUCAAUCACCAGGCUAUAUUAGUGUGGCCCAGCCACUUCAAUCAAGGACAAGUCUUCAUACUUAAAGUCAAAUUCUGCCUUUAGUCUCAUUAUAAAUUGCUGUUUAAAUAUUAAGCAAACAUUUGUUUAAUGCGAUUAAGACAGUACUAACUCAAUACUUGUUCUAUUUUUGGAUGCAAAUGCUUGAUGGUUUCAUCAUUGGAUGGGAUAAAGGUGCAUUCAUGAUUAUGAAUACUUGUAGUUAUAUUUUCAUUCUCUUUUUUCUCAAUGAGACUUGUUGGCACAAUUUUGCUGUUCAGAAACCUACCUCUCCAUCGAAAAUCAGUUGUGAUUGAUAGUACUGGAUAUAUUCAAGAAAGCUAAAUAUAGAUAGCACCAAAUAUUAUCGAUAUAAAUAGCAUUAACAGCGUACGUAUGUCUCAAUGCUCAUCAGCUAUAAGCAACGGGCAAACACUUACUAUGAGCAACUUGCGUCAAAAUUCCAGAAUAGGACAUAGAAGUGACAGAUCUAUAUAUAUAUAGAACACUGCAUAUGAGUCACAAGAAAGGAAAUUACGGGUGCAUAGCAGCUCUUAUUUUACAUCCUACUCAUACUGAUCAAAGUCACUCAGUUGGGAUGGGUGGGAGUAGGAGGUUUGUGGGGUGGCUUGUGCGGAGGAGUUGGCAGCUUCUUUCCAGGACCUGGUUGCUUCUCUGCUGGAGUUGAAGGAGGCUUAAUCUUCCGAGGUGGCUUGUAUGAGUCUUCAGCAUUCUCAGCAGGAGGGUGACCAGGGUUGUGACCAUAAUGUGGUGGCUUCUCUCCCUUAGGUGGUUUGCCAACUGGGGUUGGUGGCUUGUAUGAGUCUUCAGCAUUCUCAGCAGGAGGGUGACCAGGGUUGCGACCAUAAUGUGGUGGCUUCUCUCCCUUAGGUGGUUUGCCAACUGGGGUUGGUGGCUUGUGUUCUGGGAGUGGCUUCUCCCCCUUGGGAGGUUUUUCCAAUGGGGUUGGUUUGUGUUCAGGAGGUGGCUUCUCCACUGGAGGCUUGUGUUCAGGAGGUGGCUUCUCCACCGGAGGCUUGUGUUCAGGAGGUGGCUUCUCCACCGGAGGCUUGUGUUCAGGAGGUGGCUUCUCGAAUGGGGGAUGCUCAGGGUAAUCAGCAAGUGAGGGGUUGGUGAGAACCACCAUGCCAAGCAACAGGACUAGCAAGUAUGUAGGAGAC